UUGGUGAAUGGUGACUGGUGAGUCAUGAUCUGUUUCUUUCUCCAUUUUCAACUUUCAUGCUCCUUGUUGGGUUAUUAUUAGAUGUUGCUUUGGAGGUGAUUGGUGUGUCAAAGAUAAAUGUUCAAGUUAUGACCUUUGUUUUUAGAAUUUUAUUUAUCUUCAAUUCUUGGUCAUUUCAUAGAUUGAUCAGCGUGAGAAUAAUGUUUUCUUGCAUUGCAUGUAAGUGGAUUGUUUUGGGGUGCCAGUGAUGUGAAUAAAAACCCAUCUGUUUCUUUCUUUAUUUUAUCUCAUGUUAUAUCAUUCUGCUUUGUCUUUAAUACCACUAGUAUUUUUUUUUUAUGAAGUGUUAUUGAUCUUUUGUGAUUGUGACCUGGCUAUAUUAUGGUUCAUUUGGUUGUUUUUCAACCUCCACGUUCACACUACCGUGUUUGAUUUGGUUGGAAGAGUAUCUUGAGUUUUCUGGCAGUUUGUCAUUUCCAUGGUAUUCCCUCUGUGAACUUGUCCUCUGGUUAGCUAUUUCAGUAUUUAAGGUAAGAUAAGGUUAGGUGCAUGUUGUAUUCAAGUCUUAAAUAUACUAAAACAAUAAAGAUCUUACACAUAGUACAUGGUAUAGUUACUAUUUUUGAUGUUUUCACCUUGGGUUAAAACUUGAAACAAAUAUUUUGUUGGUGCAUUUGAUUCAGCAGUAAUUCAAUUUUGACUGGUUUAUUGUCUGUGGUUGAUACUGAUACAGAAAUUCAAUUUUGACUGGUUUAUUGUAACUCAAUAAUGGCACAUUUAAACGGGUUGUUAUGGCUUUGACUUUUAAGGCCACACAUAUACCCUUUGAGAACUACCGUGUGCACCUUCUCCCUGGCUUUCCCAAUGCCAUGCAUUUCAUCAUUUUCCUCACAAAAAAAACAUACAAAGACACUUGUGACUACUGAGUUGAUGUGAGAAAGGGAUUGGUCCAUUAAAUGGAUGGUAUCUAUAAGUCAUAAGUUAAAAUUCAUCUGUUAAACACCUGGCAUCUUAGAGGCAUAUAGUAGUAAUUUAAACAACAUACUAGAAGGUAGGUUGAUUAGGUUGAUGGCAUCCUGUUAACUAGACAUUUUAGUGGAAGUUAGAAUACGCGUUCAGUUGUUAAAUUCAUCGUUAGCCAGUGUGAUUUUGCAAAAGCUACACUCUGUAGCUUAAAAAAAUACGGCAUCACUGUGAUUUUGUCAAAUUCGGUGAUUUCAAACAUGCACUUGUUUGCCCUAAAUUACUGGUAUUGCAAUCAACUCUACAUUGGCUAAGUAGUUGUAAGUAUAAUCAAUUUUUUGGGUAGGGGAGCUAUUGAGAAAACGAAUUAUUGGUGGUGUGUUGAUAUUUGGUUGUUACAUCGCUCUGGCAAUGUGAAUAUGUUAAAAAUGGAUUGGUGAUGCUAUCUGAGUAGAUAAGAAUUUCUGGAUAGCCUGAGAUAUGGAAACUGGAGGAGGUUGAGUAAACCAACUCAUCAUUUUUGUUUAUUUUUGUAUUUUUCUGUGUAAGGAUCGUUGGUGGGGUUUUCAAAUUAAGUGAUGCCAACAUGUUUUCUUAAUUAUUGCUAAACAGAAGAGUCAGCUACCAAUAAUUGUUGGGUCCCUUCAUGGAGUUACAUGUCGAGGUGAAACAUGUUGUGUUAAAUUCCAUGUAAGGAACGUAUUUAAAUCAUCGUAUGAUGGACGUUUUGAACUUACUUAGGAACUGUUUCUGGACCUACGUUACUUUUUUCACAAGGCCCUUGCAUUUGGGUGAUAAUGUGAUAUAGCCACGUAACUGGAAAUUGCUCUUGAGCCCCUCGUGUUUGCUCAAAAUCCCCUUAAUUUAUAGGAAUGUAUUUAAUUUUUCGAUGACACAAAUCUAUCGGAUGAUACACCUGCCAAUCUGAUUUUUUCCAUUGAAAGCUAUCUUUUGCUCGGUAUUUUUCAGUGGUUGGGCAACAUCUGGGUUCCAUAGAGCAAUUUCCAAUCUGUGUUUGUUCGGUUUGGUCUACCGUAGGAUUUCUGUGUGAGUUUGAUACCUUUUUUUUUUUGCGCAAUUAUGAUAAUCAUCAUGUUAAAACUUUCGUAAGCUGGUUGAAUCUCCUAUAACUAAUCUGUUCCUAAACUCCUAAACAUUUUGAAGUAGGUUUUUUUAUCAAGCACUAAAAGUAGUUACCAUCAUAACAACUAGCAAAAUAUUCGUACACUCGCACCGAUUCACUGGUUUGGUUUGUAUAUAUAAGUUCGGAAUUAUAAUAAACAAACAUAUUUUCCUUCAAAAAAAAAAAUAAACAAGCAUAUUUUUUUGUAAUUUUUUCUUAUUGGUAGAAACUAAACAUAGAGUUUAAGUAAAUAAAUAUCGCUAUAAGUUUACUUGAAAGAAAAACAUUAAUAAGGAUUGGAAUUGAAAAUAAUGAAAACACCACAACAUUAGUUAGUACAUCAAGCAUGAUAUAUUGUCUACGAAGACAAUAGUAACUGAAACCAAGUUGCUUGAUCUAAUACUGUUGAAAGUGAACUCCAUCCUAUCUUCAGCCUUGAAAUUAUUGCUAGCACAUAAUUCGUUCCAGCCUUGAGCACUUUUGGUUGUAGUUUUUGCUCCAUCUCUUUGCAAGACCUAGCAAUUGAUUUGUACAGCUGUAGAAUCAGUGGGUAUAAGACUUUCAUAAUUGUAAUGUCUUCGUAGUCCUUCUGAGAUGUUUGUUAAAAAAAGAUUAAAUUAUGUUUUUCAAUUAUUAUUUUCUCUAUUAAAGUAAAAAAUAACUCAUCCAAAUUGACACAAGAGAGAAUUGAACAAUGAGACGUACAGCAGAAACACACUUCAAGAUCUCAGGUGGGUUUAAACACACAGUAUCAAUUUUUAUUUUUUUUAAAUACACUUAAUAUCAAGUUAACCAGCAGUCUCCCUCAUUUUGAUUCAUGUUCUAAAUAGACUUGUAUAUGAAAUUGAAUCAUUUAUUUAAUAUCGGUAAACACAUACUAAUCGUACUUGUAGCCUUGAAAUAAAAUAAAAAAUAGUUGUAGGCUUGUUACGAAUAUUAUGUUGUUACCAUCAUAACUACAUUUUUUUUUUUUUUUGGUUUCUAAAAUGCUUUUUAGCCAUUGAAUUUGGAAAGAAGUUCUCAAUGGCAUAGAUCUUUAGACAUGUUGACCCACUAGCAAUGUAUAUUACUCCAUAAUGUUUAAUUUUUGUCUUUAAUAAAGUAAUGAGUAAAUAGUCAAUUUCCCCCCUGAAAUUGUAAGUUUCAUCAAUUACCCCCCUGAAAUUAACAAAAUUUCAAUUACCCCCUGAAAUUUCACAAUGUUAGUCAAUUUACCCCUUCCGUCAAAUUUUUCUGUUAGUGAACAUGACGUUUUGCAAAUAUCCCCCUGAAGUUUUGCACUUAUGUGCAAAAUGCCCCCCAAACUUAAAAAUUUAUAUUAUUUUUUUCUUAAAAACAAACAAUUAAUAGUUAAAUAUUAAAGUUAACUAUUAAUUUUGUAGUUUGGAAAAACCACAUACAUAUAUACAUCAAAUUAUUUUUAAAGUUACAUGUGAUUAAUAUAUUACUGAUGACCUGCAACAACAGGUAACUAAUACUGGCUUGACCUACAAAUGCAAGUUAUAAGACCAACAUAAAAAAAAACUUAUAAAUGCAUGUCCUACCAUACAUGAAUUAAGUGUAAAAUGAAUGUUAACCAUUAGAUGUAUUUUGAAAGUUUUUAAUGGUUGAGAUUUUCAUGUUUUAUCACUUUCUAAGAUUCCAAUUUUUAAACAUAUAAAUUGAAUUAAAAAAGGAAAUUGAUUUUGAAAUCACAAUUAACAAAAGGGUAGUUUUGGCAUUGUUGAAAAAAUGUUCCUCUUGUUAUUCUCUCACUGUAGAAUUGUUCUCUCUCUUUGGUUGUUUGUUUUUACCGAUCUAGCUGAUGGCAUAUUUCUUUUCUAGUAUUCAUGCUGAUUUGUUGUGCUACGGUCGAAGGUAAAUGGCGGAAAUCUUCCCGUCAGCGGCUCCGGCGAGAGAGAUAAUGAUAUUUCUCUGUGUGAAUAAAUAUUUCUCAGAUUGAUAAGGAAUCUAGUUAUAUGAUGAAUUGAGACCCGUAUGAAAAUACUCUAUGAAUUGUUGUAACUUCCGUGAAAAAUAAAGCUUAUUACCACGUUUGUUUUUGCAAGAACCCUAAAAAAUAUAAUUGCGGUUGACAAGUGGAUUUGCAAAAUAAGUAUGUGCCUUCUCUUUGCCUUUCAAAUCCGAGCAAAAAUAUGUAAAGUUCGUUGAAUUUCAUGGAGUAUCGAGCGAGAUCCGAUUACAUACGUUUAUCUCUUUCUCUAGAUCUAACAUGAAAUGAAGGAAAAUAUGAAUUUCCUAUAUUGUCCCUGUAAUAUUCAUACCAUUAAAAUGUGUAUGAAAUUAUUAUAAGAAUCAUUUAUAUCUUUUUAACUUUUAUAAUAGGUAAAUAAUGUACCUAACCUGCAAAAAAACAGGUCAUUUAAGCUUAAAAAAAAAUAUUGAAGUCUCUCAUGGUAGGAGACCUAUUGAAGUCUCCCACCCUAUAUGGCACCAGGCUAUAUGCCAUAAAAGAAAAACUGAGACACAAACGGUAAAAAAAUGUAAUUACAUUUUUGGUCGCUUAUUAUAUCUUUUAUAGAAUUUUGCUCUCCAAAUUUUAAAUUUCGUAAUUUUGGUCUUCCUAAAUUAUAAAUUUAUGAAAUUAAAUCAAUCAUCCAAAAUUUUGAUGAUGUGGAGAGUCUUUAAAUGACACGAUAACAUGUUCAUCCUGCAUGUGGAGGCUAUAUUACUUGUAGAGCAAUGCUAUAUAUCAAGAAAGAUUUUAUUAAGAAAUAGUCCAGAAAUUAAUGUUAGUCAAUAAAAUCUCAGAUCGGAAAUCAUGGGGUGGUGGAUGUUAUGUAUUUUUUUUAUUUUAUAAAACGUUAAUAAAUAAGAUUGAAAUUUAAGGGUUCGUUUGGUUCGCGGGUUUUGAAGGGGAGGGGAGGGGAAGAGAGGGAAUAUUUUAAAAUUUUUGUGUUUGGUUCAAUUUUUAGAAGGGGAGGGGAGAGAGAGGAAGGGGAACGAAAUCCCUCAUAAGCUCAUUUAUUGCUCCCCCUCAAAUUGGAGUUUUUUGGAGGGGAGGGGAGGGAAAGAGAGAUGAGUUAAUGCAAUUUUAAUUACAUUGACAUAAUAUCCUCAUGUUUAUUUUUAAAUGAAAAAUCCGUCCUUAUUAAAAAUUUAAGUGUUUUCAACAUAUUGCUUAUUACCAUCUUUUCUGUAACAUGCCAAUGUCAAUUUUUUUUUUAUCGAGAACUGCACAUUCUUGUCUUCUAAUUUUUUUUUUACGUGAAUUCACUUUUUUGACUAACGUUGCUUUUAUUUUUUUUAAUUUGAUAUAUUUAUUUUAUAGUUUUUAAUUGUAUUAUAAAACAUAAUUAAUAAAAUUUGUAGAAUAUUUUUUUUAUAAAUAUAUUUUAAAAAUAAUUUCUAAUAAUAAAUAUUUUUAUAUUGUACUAGAUUAUUUUAGAAGUGCUCUAAUAUUUAUGAAUACCUAAUAUUUUGUUAGAACUUUUGUGUUUGAUUAUUUAUGGAGUUUUUGAUUACGAGUUUUUAUGUUUAUAUUUUUAUGAAGUGAAUAAUAUAAAAAUCAUGAUAUUGUUUUAAGAUUACAGUGAUAAAAAAGUAAUUUGGUUUUAAAAUCUCUCCCCUCUCCUUAUGAACCAAACACAUAUUUAAUUAAAAUCCAUUUCCUCCCAUCAUUUGAACCAAACAUAUAUCUAAUUGAUAUAUCUCUCCUUCCCUUCCCUCCCUUUCCCUCCCCUCCAUUAAAACCCCUCCCCCCGUUGAACCAAACGGACCCAAUGAUUAUUCUGCCAUGUCAUUCUUGAAUCCAUCGUGAUUUUACAUUCGCUAUACAUAGCAUUAUGCUUACUUUUAUACUGAAAUUAAGUAGAUUUUUAGGGGAAAAUUAAAUAGUUUUAAUUAGCAUAAAUAGUUAUUAAAUAGUUCUCGUCACUCUCCCAUAACUUGUAUUGCAUGACUUUGUGAUGAUGUGGUGGUGUCCGUGGAAAAGUUGAAAUUGAAAGGUAUAUGGGAGGGUGACGAGAACCAACCACACAUUUCUCGGUGCAGCUAACAAGGGAUGUGCUAUAACUAUUGCAGUGGCAAAGUGUGCAUAACGUAUCAAGUUCAGACUCAAGUGUUGUUGAUAACAAAAAUCGAUGGCGCUUAGACCAGUGUAUGUUUUGGUCCAACUUGGACCAGUAAAAUUACCUGGUAUCACAGGUUAUGUUUCAGUUGUCCCAUACCAUACACCCCUUAUAGAAAAACAUGCUAGCAACCCCUUUUUCCCAAUAAGUUACUUAUAAGUUACUUGUUGUUCAACAGGUUCUGUUUCAGUUGUAAUUAAUGUCAUUAUUUUUUAGCUAUCAAACCUUAAAAAAUUUCCAAAAAAAAAGGUGGGUUCUUAAUCACAUUGUUUGUAGAAGCUUGUUGAGGGCAGUUUCAUUCACAAAACACAAAACUAUUGCUGAAUGCAGUUGCAUUUGGGAGGUGCCUUGAUUUUCAACAAGUUCACCAAUGUUUCAAUCUCCAGCCACCGACGAAGGUAGAACCAGAUCUAACAGUUGAGUGAGCGAUUCGGAAAAUCAAACGAGGAGUGAUUAUGUGUUUCGUAUAUUAUCUGCUUGUUUGUAUAAUAUUAUAAAUCUCCAUCAACACAUCCAUUGAUGACGGUUCUUGGAGCUUGUGGACCUAAUUAAAUGAAAAACAAUUUUGAUUUGAUUAAAAUUUAAUAAUAUAUUUUGAUGUUGAAUUUAUUAAUCUUUAACUGCGUUGUUCUAAUUUUCAGUUCGAUAGCAGUAGCACUUUCCUUUUUUCUUUUGCAUCAGGUAUCAGACCUUCAAUCACAACCAUAAUCAUCUAUUGUAUAUGGUCGGUCUGUGAUAGUAACAUAGACCCUUCACACCUAAUCAUCUCUCCCCGUUCCUUCUCUUCCCUUACCAUCCUUUCAUAUUCUUGAUUUAUUUCAUUUCCAAACAAUUUUGUUUAUGUUCCUUCGAUUUGAAAAGUAUAAUAUCGUUGUAAGUUCUGAUGAAAAUUGCAAAAUGGAGAUGAUGAGAAUGCUUGUUAACUAUUACAGUCAGCAUAUUAAAAUUAAAAAAAUGGUGGAAAAUAAAAAUAAAAAAGUUAUUCUUCUCUCGGAUCCAUCCUUGGAUACACCAAUUUUAAGCUAAUUAAAGCAAAACUUCAGUUAACCAAGUUUUCAAUCAACGAUCUAGCAACUUUGCUUUACUUGGUUCAUCAUUGUUCUUAAUGUGAAUUUGUUACCAUUUUUCUAAAUUCCAAGCCACCCAUUUUAAUUCAUGGCGUCCAGUUUUGACCGAUGGGAAAAAAUCUAUUAUUUGAAGUUUUUGAAGAAGUUCUGGAUUUUGUUGUUUGUUGAUGAAAGAAUGGGGGAAGAUGGUAAGAGAAGAGAAGAAAGGGGAAGAGAUGAUUUGGUGUGAAAGGUCUAUGUUACAGUUAUAGACCUCAAAUAAAUCCAACCAGCUCAAAAAAAAUUAGGGGGUCAAAAUAGCACAAUUGAGAAACUUUAAGGGUUAAAAGUACAAUUAAGCCUUGAUUAUAAGACGUUUUUGAGUUUUUUCUUUGUUCAAUUUUAUAAAACAUCUUUCAAAUUUUAAAAUGCAUUAAUUAUUUUUUUACAACUAUACAUCUAGUUAAGUUACAUAUUUUUCCUGCAAUGUUGUAAUAAAUACUAUAUGAAAAUAUUAAUUAAUUCUCUCUAAUAAAUUAUAGACUUGUAAAACAAUAAUGAUUGUCAACAAAAUUAAUAAAACAAUCAACUUUCAUAAUUCUCAUAAUUUUUUGUCAAAUCUAUUUUAGUCUUUUAAAUUUAACAGAAGUAUCGGGUUUCUUCAAAAAAAAAAAAUGACAGAAGUAUCGAAUUUGUCCUUUAAGUUUUUUAACUGCCUAAAAUUAACAACUUAAAUAACUUAUUUAAAAUUUAAAAAAAACUUAAAGAUCUAUUUAAAAUUUAAAAAACUUACAGGACCAACUCAGUAUUUUCGUAAAACUUACAAGACUGAAAGAUACAUUUUGCUUUUAUUUUUUGUGAUAAUAGUCACUUUAGUUAUCAAAUAUGUAGAGUUCAUGUAUGCUCAAUUUAGUCAUUUAGUGUCUUAGAUGGAAGACGUGUGGCAAAAAACAAUUUUGAGGGCUGAGAUUUUAAGUUAAUAAAUUAACAUCUUAAUAAUAGAAAAAUAAAAACAAUAUGUUCAUCUUCUCACUUAUAAUCAGGCUUUCUCUCAUAUCGUAGUUCGCUGUAACACCCCAAAUUUCUAUUUAAUUAAUUUUGUGAGGUUAAAUAGGUGGAGUCGUGUUUAUUAUGAUUAUAAUGUUGAUUAGUGACGUACUAUGAGGGCUAAUAGGAUGAAGAGAAGAAUUAAGUAAAUAUGAUACAAAGUUGGAGGUGUAGAAUAUAAGUUUUAAAUAAGUGGGGGAGGGGAGGAGUAAAAGUAUAGUGAAUAAAGGAGAAGAAAGUUAUAACAUGUGAUUGACCCAAGUAUAAAUAUAAACAUUAGGAGUUAGAAGAGUCACUUUUGCUCAAGGUGAAAAAAAGAAAGAAAAGAGGAGCAUAGGAGAAGAAACCCUAGUUGCGACGAGAUCAAGCCAAGCUGGAAAUUUCAGAAGAAAUCGAGGUAAGGGGGGAAUCUCUUCAUCUCUAAGGUUUAAUAUUUUGCUGUAGGGUUGUAAAGGGGUUAGAGUAUGAGUGUUGUUAUGAUGGUGAUGAGGACGUUGUUGAGGUUAAUUAAUUCUUAAGUUAUGAUUGUUGUUAUGAGGAAGAUUUCCAUUGAAAAAUUAUGAUGAAUGAAUGUAGAAUUGUUGUUGAAAGAGUAAUAUCAAGGGAACCUAGUUUAGAGAUUAGAGUUCAGAACUUGACCCUGAAAUAGUGUAAAAUUGGAUACUUUGAUAGAGAAUUAACACUCAAAUAAUAGGGUAAACCUAGAGUGAUGAUUAGGGACAAUUUGGGUGUCAUGGGAUUGAGUUAAGUGAUUCAAAAAUGAUUAAUUGGGGAAAAACGCAUUUCUGAGUGUUUUGAUUCGACAAAAAUUGGGCCCAAUUUUGUAAAUUCGGCCCCUGAUUUUCUCAGCACAACUUAACAAACAAAAACUGUUGUUUUUAAGCAUUUUCCGUUCCGAAGUGGAUUUCGGUCGAAACAUGAAAGUUUUAGGUAUGUGUGUUAGAUUUCCAAUGGCUUUUGUUUCACCUCAACCAGACCUCUACAACUUGAGUUAUGGUCAAAUUACCGUACUUGGGUCAUGCUGCGUUUUUCGUGAAACUUCAGCAUAAUCUUUUCAAUGAGCCUUAAAACAUCCUAGAAAAUAAUAAAGAGUUUAAGAAGAUUGUUAAAGAUAAAUGUAAGGGUAAGGGUCCUAAACUAUAUAACUUAAAGAAGGAGUGGGUUUAAGCGUAAUUAGAAGUGAUUAACUCAGGAUGAUAACAAGCUUAAAUAGGAACCGAGGAUAGUAACCUAUGAGAACCUAAUGGUGUCAAGAUGGCUUGAAAAUUGAAAGUGAAAUAUAAAUAUGGGAGACGCUGUGAGGAAUAUUAAUCGAGAGGUUAAUACUUAAAUUAGAAGGGAUAAUGGGGUAUAUUAAUAGGAUGAAAGACGUAGUAAUGGAGAGAACGAAUGACUAGAGUAGUAAUGAGUAACGAAGGAAUAUGAUGUGUACAUAUGCUCGAAUAAGAUGUUGAUUAAUGGCGAGAAGUUAUUAUCGUGUGAUGAGGAUCUAUGUUGAGAUAAUAAUUGUAGAAUGGUGAUGAUGAAUGAUAUCAUAAUUAAUGAUGUUUUGUGAAUGACGAGUAAUGAUGAUGACGUGUCUUGUUUAGGGUGACGAGUAAAUGAUGAAGUGGGUUAUGUUAUGAGUAAGAGUUAAAGCAUUGGGUAAGUUAGGGGAUGAUAAUAACAUUGAGAAAAGAUAUCAAGUUGAUUAAGGGUAAUAAGACGAGAAAUUACCAUAGCAAAUAGUGUGGGUAUGUGGUGAGUUUAAAAACACGCGAUUUAGUAAAAAGGGUAUAAGACGAUGAUAAUAUGGGAUGUGAAGUAGGUUCUUUUCCGAAUAACUAAUGAGGUGAAAUAUGAUCUCCUUAAACCAAUAAUGAGUCUAAGAAUAUCGUUGAGUGAAAGAGCGAAUGAACCAAGGUAGUUAAAGAACUUAAGAUGAGUGUUAGACAGUAACAUAUAAGGUGUAAAAAUGAAUAAAGACUGAAAACAUAAUAGGAAUGAUGAUAACGAUAAAUAAGAAGAGGAUCGAUUAGAAGGGAGCAAGAUGCAUAGGAAAGAGGAUAAGAGGUAAUAGUUGUAAUGAGUGACGAAUAUAAUAACGAACGGUAUCAAAAGAAUGAAACCUCGAAUUAUAAUGAAGUAUUAGGUUAGAUAAUAACUUUAAAUUUAAAAUGAAGUUAUGAUUAGGGAGACGGACGAUGUAUAGAUGACGACGAACGUGAGAACAAGUAAUAAGAUAUAAAGUCGUUUUAUGGAGGAGAAUAAGUAGGAAAGAGUUGAUAAGAAUUGUGAGGAAAAACCUAGGUAUAUAGAGAGGAGACUUUGUAUGUAAUGAUAGCGAAUAAGAAAAACAACUUGAGACCAGGAAUGAGGAAUAUGGUAUGAUAUCAGGAAUAAAGUUUAUAGAGCCUAGAAUAGAUGAGAGAAUAAUGUAUGUUCCUAAAAUGAAUACUAAAAUAAAAUAUAGGGAAGUUGACGUAGAAUUGAAUUACGCGUAAGGGUUGGAUUAAUGAAGAGAUACAAUGGUGAUAUAAAUUGUUGAUAGAGAUUGUAACAGCCCGAUUUUCGCUAGAUUUAUUUGAAUUAUUUUUAUUAUGUGUUUAUAUGUGCUUGUGCGUGAUCAUUCAUCAUUGGGUACAUUUUCAUGAGUUUUCGUGUUAGAAGGGUAAUUUAGUCAUUUUGGACUCAUGGGUAUUCUGGUCAUUUUGGGUGUAAGAGUAAAUUAGUAAUUUUUGGUGAGAAUUAUUUUUAGUGUUUAGUGAGAACCAUUAUUUUACUAAGUUACUAGAGUAGUAAUUAGUAUUUUACCGUUAAGUGACCGUUAUUAGUAAUUUACCGUUGUGUGUGUGUAGAAACUUUUUAGAUUUGAAUUGGAGUGAGUUAAAUCCAUUAAGCUUUAGGGUUAGGCCCGUUAAGGGGACAUCCUAUAUAAACCUUGUCUUAGAGGAAAUUUCCUCACACUUUCAUUUACAAGAUAUUUUGAGCGAGUUAGAGAGAGAAAGUGGGAGCAAAGAGGAAAAUGGUUAGAGAGAAGGGGAACUUGAAGAUUCAAGGAUUGGAGGGAGCUAGGAGCUAAAUUGAAGCUUAAGCUAGGGAGUUAAUCUAACUAAGGUAAGGGGGUUAGAAUUCAUCAUAAUCAUUUUUAGUGUAAAUUUCAAUUGUUGCAUGAAUAAGUGCUUAAUUGAGUAAUUGAUUAUUUGUUCAUAAUCGUUAGAAUUUGUGCUCCAAUUAUGAUGAUAUGCUUGAAUGCAUGAAUUUGUUGAUGAUUGAAUUGUUGUUAGUGAAACUUCAUGUUCAAAGUAUGAGAAAAUGGUAUAUGUUGAAAUAUGUUCAAUUGGUUGAAUUAUGAUAUGGUGUUGUUGAAUUGUGAUAAGAUUCAUGAUCAAUUGAUGUUGUUGUUGCUAAGUGAUGAUGUUGAUGAUAAUUCAUGGCUUGGGUAUGCAUGAUUCAUGAUUUGCUGUUGAGAAAUGAGAUGUUGUUGGUGGUUUGGUAAAAAUUGGUGAAUUGAUCCAAAUGUCAAUUGUUUUCAUGUUUGUUGAGUCCUUGUGAGUCACUUUAGUCAUAUUGACCUGUAAGCAACAUCUGGAAACACGUUUGGGCAUUAAGGGAUCAAAAUUGGGGAUUUUGGAUAAAAAGGGGUUGAAACCCGUAACACUUUAUGCAGAACUAUGAACGUUCGCUUAAGGGGUCCCUUAAGCGACCGGUAAGCGAGCAUUCAUAUGGCGUUCUGGGUUCAGGUCGCUUAAGUGCCCUGCCAGCGAGCUGGUAAGCGUACUUUUUGAUAGCUUCUGGAACCCGUUCGCUUAAGCGAACCAUGUGGUCGCUUAAGCGAACUGAUGAGCUUCCUGCAAGCGACCGCGACCAGAAAGCGUACACUUGAGGUGGCUACUGGAACUCGUUCGCUUAAGCGAACCAGGUGGUCGCUUAAGCGAGCAAGCCCAAUUUCAGCCACUUUAAUCUUUUGUUCUGGGGCCAAUCCGAGCUUUGUAAAAUGAUUCUUUCAACAUGUUUAACUAAUGUUUAAACCCCUAAACCUACUGGAACAUGAUUAGCUUACCUAAACUUAAAAUUUUCCGUUAGAGUCAUAACUUGAAAGUUUUUGGUAAUUUUAUACUUUUGUCGAAACAAACUUUUGCAAACUAAUGGAGCUUGCAAGUUAAACCUACAGCUCAUAUAGACUUAGGCAAAAAUCUUAAUCAUGUCAAAAGCGAUAUUUCGGAUGGGAAUGUGAAAGAUUAUGAAAUUGGGUUUUCAUACGAAUUUAAGCUAUUCUUUAGACUAAUGUCUAAUAGUCCGUAAGUGGCUUAAGCUCAUGACUACAGUGUUGGAACAAAAUGUGUUUCACAAUGAACCUUAUUGAGUUUUGAUGAUAACAAGGUAUUAAAAAUUGUCAAUUGGUUAUUACUAAUAAUUGUUCAAGUGUACAGGACCAAAGGCUACUCAAGUUAUUUCAAUAGGUCUUGGAAGAACAAUGGAAAGAAAAAAGAAAUUCUGAGCAUCUGAAGAAAACUGCUCCUGAAGCUAAACUGCUCCUGAAGAGAUGACGUCAUCAGAAGCAGAAAGUCAUCAGAAGCAGAAAGUCAUCAGAAGCAAAAGUUUUCAUCAGAAGCAAUAUCUUCACCAGAAGCUACUUUUGAUCCUUUAAUCAAACUGAAGAUUCAAAGUUGCUGAUUCUCAAUUCAGUCUUAUCAAAGAAGAACAAAGAAUUGAAAGGGAGGUAUCAACGGAUAUAUGGAUAGCACUGAGCUCUUGUCUCUCGUUAAUAGAGUUGACAAAGUACAAGUGUACAACCACUACCUCCACUACUCUGUUUUCUGUCUACGCUACAAGACAAAACAACAGCCAUGCCUGCAGAAUUUGUACACUCAAGAUGGGAAUGAAUUUGAAGUUUAUUCUUCAAAGGACUACACCCAAAUCAGGCAAAGGAUCACUGGUGGAUAAUCAAAGGAUUUCAAACGACUCUUUAGACGUGCUGAUUAUCUCAACGUCUCUUUCACACCUCUAUAUAAAGGAAUGAAGACUUGAAGAUUUAAGAUAGAGAUACAUAAGUUCAAAAGCGCCAAAACUCUGUCAAUUUGAUUCUAAAAAGCACACUGAAUUUCUGCACUGAUUUGAUACAUCUUAGAAAUUCAAAGUCUAGAGUCUUUUCUGUAUUGUAUUGUGAACACCACUGAUUGUAUAUCAAGUGUUCAAUUCAAACUCAAUUCUCUGUAUUUUUGUUUGAUUAGAAGUCUCUUGCCUGCGUGCUUGAGCAUUAGAAGUCUCUUGCUUAGUGCUUGAGCAUUGGAAGACUCUUGCGUGUGUGCUUGAGCAUUGUUUUGUGAAGUCUCAUACUUUGAUAGUAUUGAGCAUUUGUAAUCUUUGUGAUUAUAGUGAAAUCUCCUUGGAAGUGCAAGGGGGACUGGACUACUUCCGUGUUGUGGAAGGAACCAGGAUAACUGCUUGUGUCUUUGUCUUUCUUUUCUCUGCUCUGUUCUUUCCGCUGCAUAUCUGAUUCUGAUCAUUUCAUCAGAAGCACUCUCAGUCUGCUUCUGAAGAUUUAUCAGAAGAAGUAUUAAUUAAGAGAAAAAGAAAACACAAUUCAACCCCCCCUUCUUGUGUUUUUCUCACCUUCAAUUGGUAUCAGAGCCUGCUCUGUUAUCACAGCACUUAACCGUGUUACAGUUCAAGAUCUAUUAGAAAAACAUGUCUGGAGAUGAGGAAUCAGUUACUCCAAAAUACACAAGCGUCAAGCAUGACUAUGAUACUGCUGACAAGAAAACAGACUCUGGAAAAGCUCCAAGGUUUAAUGGAGAUCCAGAAGAGUUUUCUUGGUGGAAAACUAAUAUGUACAGCUUUAUCAUGGGAUUAGAUGAAGAGUUAUGGGACAUACUGGAAGAUGGAGUUGAUGAUCUGGAUUUGGAUGAAGAAGGAGCUGCUAUAGAUAGAAAAAUACAUACUCCUGCUCAGAAGAAGCUUUACAAGAAGCACCACAAAAUCAGAGGGAUUAUUGUGGCUUCUAUACCUCGCACCGAAUACAUGAAAAUGAGUGACAAAUCUACUGCGAAGGCUAUGUUUGCUUCUCUAUGUGCAAACUUUGAAGGCAGCAAGAAAGUAAAAGAGGCUAAAGCUUUGAUGCUAGUUCAUCAGUAUGAACUUUUCAGAAUGAAAGAUGAUGAGAGUAUAGAAGAAAUGUACUCAAGAUUUCAAACUUUAGUUUCUGGAUUGCAAAUACUGAAGAAAAGCUAUGUUGCUUCUGAUCAUGUUAGUAAGAUUUUGAGAAGCUUACCUUCAAGAUGGAGACCCAAAGUAACUGCUAUUGAGGAAGCUAAGGAUCUAAAUACUUUAAGUGUUGAAGAUCUUGUUAGCUCACUCAAAGUGCAUGAAAUGAGUUUAAAUGAGCAUGAAACCUCUAAGAAGAGUAAAUCCAUUGCUUUACCAUCUAAAGGAAAGAUCUCAAAAUCUUCCAAAGCCUACAAAGCCAGUGAAUCUGAAGAAGAAUCACCUGAUGGAGAUUCUGAUGAAGAUCAAUCUGUAAAAAUUGCUAUGCUGUCCAACAAGCUUGAGUAUCUGGCAAGGAAGCAAAAGAAAUUUUUGAGCAAGAGAGGUAGCUACAAGAACUCCAAGAAAGAAGAUCAGAAGGGAUGCUUCAAUUGUAAGAAGCCUGGUCAUUUCAUUGCUGAUUGCCCUGAUCUUCAGAAGGAGAAGUUUAAAGGCAAAUCCAAGAAAUCAAGCUUCAAUUCCAGUAAAUUCAGAAAGCAAAUCAAAAAGAGCUUGAUGGCGACCUGGGAAGAUUUGGAUAGUGAAUCUGGUUCUGAUAAAGAAGAAGCUGAUGAUGAUGCUAAGGCAGCCGUUGGGUUAGUGGCAACAGUAUCAUCAGAAGCAGUAUCAGAAGCUGAAUCAGAUUCAGAAGAUGAAAAUGAGGUAUAUUCCAAAAUCCCUAGACAAGAACUUGUUGAUUCUCUAAAAGAACUUUUAUCACUGUUUGAACACAGAACCAAUGAGUUGACAGAUUUAAAAGAAAAAUAUGUUGAUUUGAUGAAACAACAAAAAUCAACUCUAUUGGAACUGAAAGCUUCUGAAGAAGAACUCAAAGGGUUUAACCUCAUAUCAACAACAUAUGAAGAUAGACUCAAGAGUCUUUGUCAGAAGCUACAAGAAAAAUGUGAUAAAGGUUCAGGCAAUAAACAUGAGAUUGCCUUGGAUGAUUUUAUUAUGGCUGGAAUAGACAGAAGCAAAGUUGCUUCUAUGAUCUACAGCACAUACAAGAACAAAGGCAAAGGGAUUGGAUAUUCUGAGGAGAAAUCCAAAGAAUACAGUCUCAAGAGCUACUGUGAUUGUAUCAAGGAUGGAUUGAAAUCCACCUUUGUGCCUGAAGGUACAAAUGCUAUAACUGCUGUUCAGUCAAAACCUGAAGCUUCAGGUUCACAGGCUAAGAUCACAUCAAAGCCAGAGAAUCUUAAGAUCAAGGUAAUGACAAAAUCUGAUCCUAAGAGUCAAAAGAUUAAAAUUCUGAAAAGAUCAGAACCUGUUCAUCAGAAUCUGAUUAAACCAGAAUCUAAAAUUCCAAAACAAAAGGAUCAGAAGAACAAAGCAGCUACUGCUUCUGAGAAAACAAUACCAAAAGGUGUCAAACCUAAAGUAUUGAAUGAUCAGAAGCCACUCAGCAUUCACCCUAAGGUACAAGGGAGGAAAAGUAAAACCUCCAAAACUAACCCAAAAGGACCCAUGAAGAUAUGGGUACCUAAAUCUGAAUUGGCCAAAAAUGCAGGUGUGCUUAAGGGCAAGAGAGAAACAAAGGUCAUGGUACCUAGACAACGGAUGUUCAAGGCACAUGACUGGAGAGAAAGCUUUGUUCCUUACCCUUACAAUGAAAGAUGGAGGAGAAGUGAAGUUUGGUGGCAACCAAACUGGAAAGAUCAUUGGUACAGGUACUAUUGGUAAUUCCUCCAUCUCAAUUAAUAAUGUGUGGCUAGUAGAUGGUCUGAAGCAUAACCUAUUGAGCAUUAGUCAAUUUUGUGACAAUGGGUAUGAUGUAACGUUCAGUAAGACCAACUGCACACUAGUCAACAAGGAUGACAAAUCCAUUACAUUCAAGGGAAAGAGAGUUGAGAAUGUCUAUAAAAUAAAUUUCUCUGAUCUGGCUGAUCAGAAGGUAGUUUGCCUUCUGUCAAUGAAUGAUAAAAAAUGGGUAUGUGUUAUACCCUGUUUUUGGACCUAAAAAUACUGGGCCCAAUUUCAUUUCAAACUUUGUCAACUAUCAAAUUUCAAUUGCACAGUUCAAAUUGUCUCUGCCUCGCAGUAUUUUCAAUCACAAUUUUACCUAUGUUUUUCUUGCAUAAAACCUUUCAAAAUGUCUUUACUUGUCUUGUAAGUCAUUCGAAAGUGUCUCUGAAUCAUUGCGUUGCUUUUUCUACGGUUUAUUUCAAAAUUUGCAAAAAGUCAUACAGAAGGGUAUUUUGGUCAUUUCCUGCAGUGGGACCCAUUUUCAUCCUUGUGACUGUCUCUGAGUUUUUUCAGAUUAUUUUUUUAGCAUUUCAUCAGUAAACCUUGCUAAUUUCAUUUCAAACUUGCGUCUGAGUCAGUGGCAAGUCUGUUUGAGUCAGUUUAGGUCAUUUUUAGCCCUAGGGGCAUUUUGGUCAUUUCACACGAAAUUUUGGCAUGGGGAGGUUACUUUGAAGUACCUCAUUUAGGCCAUUGGUUCAUUUUAGUCCGUUUUGUCAAUUUUAUUUUUGUUUCGCUUUACGUUUGAUCAAAAUGCACUUUUUUAUUCAAUUGCAUUUUGGUCCCUCAAUUGAGGUCCCAAAAUUACAUUUCAGUCCAAAAGUUUCUAAAAAUUGCAUUUCAGUCCUUUUAUUAUCAUUUUUUCUGCAGAAACGCCCCAAAGGGCAUUUUGGUCCAAAUUUUCGCACAAAUUUUAGUCCAGUCCAGGUGUCUUUUUUUCAUUGGUUCAGGUACACAUGGCAGCAUAUAAAAGGGAAACAGUGUCAGAUUUUUUUGAAGGAUUCCAUUCACACAGUGACACAUCACAAACAGAUCAAAACUUUCUCUCUCCAUUCUGUUAGAUCAAAGAAAACAGAAUCACCAAGAACACAGAAAUUCAUCAAACCCUAACACACAAAUUCAUAACAAAAUCAUCAAAAUCCAUUGAAAUUUCUGCAAAUCUCAGGAGAUUCGUCAGAGAAUCAUCAUCAUCGAUUUGUUCCUUUCGCAAUACGAGUGCGAAUCCGUCACCGGACUCAAGCACGAUCACGAAAGGCGUGCGAAUCCGAGAAGAAGAAGGGAAAAACAGAAUCUGUACAGAAGCACGCAAGCAACGCGCACGCAAGCAAGCAGCGCGCACGCAAGCAAGCAAGCACGCAAGCAACGCGCACGCAAGCAAGCAGCGCGCACGCAAGCAAGCAACAAGCAAGCAAGGACGCGAGCAAACACGCGGAGCAACAAGAUCGUGAGGUAACCGCCGUCGUUCUUCCUCUUUUCCCUUCCGUUUUCUUAAGUUUUUUCAUCAAGGUUCAAGUUUAGAUCUACUCCGAUUCAAAGCUCUUUUGAAAAAUCUAAGCUCGGAUUCGAGUAAUACAUAAAAAAGGAUGUUUAAAAACGUAAAAAAAAUUUGAAUCGGAGCAGUUUCGAACUCCGGCGCGGAGGCGCCACCGCCGUCCGCCGCGCCGGAAAAGCCAUGCCAACCGGAGAAGAUGACCGGAAAGUUAGAGAGAAGUUGGAGCUUCUCUCUCUAAAAAGAGAGAAGAAAGAGAAAGAGGAGUAUCAAAAUGAAAAAAACCGGAUUUCACCUCUAUAUAUAGAGACUUGAACCGGUCCGGUUUAUUUUCGGUUUUACUCUCUCAUUCUCAGCCUUCAGAUCAAUCUAACGCUCCCUGUUGCUCCGGAUUUUUUGGCAUGGUUUGGGCCUUUCACUUUCGUUUUUGCUUUCUUUUUUUUGUUAUUUGCACCACUUUUCUUUGCUGUUUGAACCCCUGCAUGCUUAAAAUUUUCCCUAAAAAACCUCCAAAAAUUAUCACAUGUUUCUUGAUAUUUUCUCAGUGUUUUUAUGACAUUUUUGCACAUUAAGGAUCUAUGAAAUUUUGGUAUAAUUAAUUCAUAGCAUUUUAAUUCUCUUUGAAUUAUUUGUUAUGGAUUCUUCUUCACACAUUUGUCCUUGAUGUGAGAAUAUGUAAUAAAAGCUACUUGAUGUGUUAAUAUGAGAGAUUUGUGCCUAUAAUUUCAUGUUGAUUUGCUGUUUUGAUUUGGUUCAUAAGUUCUUGAUUUUAUGAACAAUAUAUGCAUAUUUUGAAAGAUAUAAAAUGCCAAGUUUAUUCUAGAAAAUAUGGCAUGAAACCAUGCUUGCAUGUUUCCAAUAAUUCCAUGCUAUAACUUGAGAUAAAGAAAACUCUUUCAAAAUUUGUUAAAGCAUGAGAAUUAGAGGCCAAGAAUGCUUUAGGUUUCAUACCUAAAUUUUUAGGGUUUAAUGUCAUUUUGUUAACUUUUUGUGCCAUCUUGCAUGCUUUUAUUUCUUAGUACUUGUUAUGUUUUUUUCUUUUCACUAACAAGUUUAUUUCCAUGUUUCAUGCAUCUCAUUUAGCAUUCCCUCCACCUUCUUUAGCCUAGCAUUUAUUUUUGCAAGUUUUAAUUCCUUUAGAGAUGUAAUUUGUCAUCAUUAUUUUGUAGCUUGGCAAAGGGGCCAUAGAAUGUAUUUAGGCAAUUUUUGUAAUAUGGACUAUGGACACUAUGACGCACCGACACGCACACACUCACCUUAGAUGUAUGCAUAGGAUUGUAUGGUUAAAUAAGCGUUUAGGUUUUAAACACUUAGAGAAAAUCCAUCUUUUCCAAAAAAAACAAUUGAACUUCACUUCAAAAAUUUUCAUAAUAAAUAUGAAGUCAACACUUCAUUUUUUCCUUUCUUUUUUCUUAAGAAAAAUUCAAUUCAUCUUAAUCAUUUAGACUUUCUUUCUAAUCACUAAUCAAACCUCACUUUUUUUGCUAAAUCUAAUGCUCAUGAAGCCUCCCAAUCUCCUUCUUCAAAACCUUUUUUUUCAAAACUUAAAAUCAAACAAUUAAAACAAAAAAAAACAAGUUUCUUUAGCAAGAACUACGAACGGUUUUGAUCCCGUAAAACGGUACGUAGGCAAUGAGUCAAAACUCAUCCAAGCCGAAAUAAAAUCAAAUUCUACUUCUUCUCACCCCCAUUCUUCACUAAUCAUACCUUCUUUUUACAAAUAAGCAAUAAAACUAAAGCGUAGAAAUAAACUUAGGAGAACGGCUCUUAUGGAAUACCAUAAUCGCUCCGGGUGCCUAACACCUUCCCGUAGUGAAAACGACCCCCGAAUCCGGAAACUCAAGGGUUUUUCUCCUUUUACCCUUCCCAAGAAAAAAGAGAGGUAUCAACGGUCGAAAGGUACAAGUCCAAUUAAUGGCUUGGCACCCAAAAACCAUGAUAACAGAAAUGGCAACUUCACUGGGGAAUUCUUUUUAGCGGGUCGCGCCUAGUUUUCCUUAGUUUAUAUUUACGCUUUGUUUUAUUGCUUACAUAUGUGAAUACUUCUUUAUUUUCAUUUGACGUGUGGGGUGAGAAUAUCAAAAGUCCUAUACCCGGGCUGAGUGAACUUAUGUUUAGGUAGAGAUAUAAUCGACAAUUCGAUCCGGGGGUUGCCUCGUGUAUUGGAUUAUGCGAUCAAUCUCACAUAGCUGAGGCAUUUUGAAGGUGAUAUUGUCGGCGUGUGUUGUCAUGCUUAGGCACUUCACUUUCAAUUGUUCGACGAAGCUAUGAACCGUAGUUACCAAACCCAUUCUAGCCUCUUUAGGACGUAGUGCGGUGGCUAAAUUGAGUGUUGUCUCAAACUUUAGUCAUCACGCGAUACUACACUCAAACUAGACCUUCUCACAAAUAAUCAUGGAACGGGUGUCGUCCUGUACUACCAUGAUAUAUGUGAGAGAGGUUGCAGUUUGGGAACUGUGUUAGAACCUUGGUUACUACUAUCCAAAGCCUUAGUUCACCGGACGCCGUGUCCAUCCGUGGCCCUGUUACUUUGAAUCUCAACCCACCUUGUUCUUUGUAACUAAACAAAACAACCAUGCAUACAUGCAUUCAUGCAUAAGUUUUUUUUCACGCAUACAUCGAAGAUUUUUUUAGACAGAUCGAAACAUUGUAAGACACCGCAGGUGUGAACUUGUAUUCAUAAGUUUACCAUUGUAAAACCUUAUUUUGCUUGUUUAACAGUGUUUACAAUGUUUCGAAUUUGUUUAAAAAGUCCUUCGAUGACAUUAAAAAGAGUCGUUUUUGCAUUUGCAUCUGCAUAUCAUGCAUCAUAUGCAUCAUACAUUGGUCACAAAGGGUUCCAAGUGCUCACUAUCUCCUGGUUCCUCUGCCGCAGUGUGAAAAGUGGCUCGUGCUCAGAGAGUUUACGAACCAGAUAGAAUUGAUCGAACCAGAGAAUACAGAAGAAAGAAAAGGGCUAUGGAAGAAGAGAACGCUCAGCUUCGCACCGAGUUAGCCUCUCUAAAGGAGGAAUUGGCUAAAGCUAAUGACGUCAUGACUGCUCUACUAGCUGCUCAAGAGCAAUCAGCUACAGCUAUCCCUACAACCACAGCUGCACCAGUAACUACAAGCGUGCUCCCUACCACUUCUGCAGACAAUCGCUUUACUAUGCCAGUGGGGUUUCCGUAUGGGCUUCCACCGUUCUUCACUCCCGUUGCUACAGCAAGCACCUCGGGCACUGCUAACAAUGUUCUGAUCCCUGCAACAAAUGCCGCCUCCAUCAUUGCUACUUUGCCACAAACAACAGUAGCUGUCACUGAGCCUCUGGUACACACUCUGCCUCAAGGUAUUAACAUCAACACACAGCACAGAAGCAUCCCCGUAACCAAGACUAUGGAAGAGAUGAUGGAGGAACUUGCUAAAGAACUCCGUCACGAGAUCCAGGCCAAUCGAGGGAAUGCAGACUCUGUCAAAACUCAAGACCUUUGCUUAGUGUCAAAAGUGGAUGUUCCUAAAAAGUUCAAGAUUCCGGACUUCGACCGGUACAACGGGCUAACUUGUCCUCAAAAUCACAUCAUCAAAUACGUCCGGAAGAUGGGCAAUUACAAAGACAAUGAUUCCCUUAUGAUCCACUGUUUUCAGGAUAGUCUGAUGGAGGAUGCCGCAGAGUGGUAUACUAGUUUGAGUAAGAAUGACAUCCAUACCUUUGAUGAGUUAGCCACCGCUUUCAAGAGCCAUUAUGGGUUUAACACUCGACUGAGGCCAAAUAGGGAGUUUCUCAGGUCCCUAUCUCAGAAGAAGGAGGAAAGUUUCCGUGAAUAUGCGCAAAGGUGGAGAGGGGCGGCUGCCCGUAUCACUCCUGCUUUAGAUGAAGAAGAAAUGACCCAGACGUUCUUAAAGACGUUGAAGAAAGAUUAUGUUGAGAGGAUGAUCAUCGCUGCCCCGAACAACUUUUCGGAGAUGGUCACUAUGGGAACCCGUCUUGAGGAAGCCGUCAGGGAUGGAAUCAUUGUGUUUGAGAAAGCUGAAUCUUCUGCAAGUGCGUCGAAGAGGUAUGGUAAUGGACACCACAAGAAGAAAGAAACGGAAGUGGGGAUGGUGUCAGCUGGAGCCGGUCAAUCAAUGGCUACUGUUGCUCCUAUCAAUGCAGCUCAAAUGCCUCCGUCAUACCCAUAUAUGCCGUAUUCUCAGCAUCCGUUCUUCCCACCGUUUUAUCAUCAGUACCCUUUGCCACCCGGCCAGCCUCAAGUGCCCGUCAAUGCAAUUGCCCAACAGAUAAAACAACAGAUGCCGGUUCAACAACAACAACAAAAUCAGCAAGCUAGGCCUACUUUCCCUUCGAUACCAAUGUUGUAUGCAGAACUUCUUCCAACUCUACUCCAGAGAGGGCAUUGUACGACUAGGCAGGGUAAGCCCCCACCUGACCCGUUGCCUCCAAGGUUCAGGUCUGAUCUCAAAUGUGAUUUUCAUCAAGGUGCCUUAGGUCAUGAUGUCGAGGGGUGUUAUGCUUUGAAGUAUAUUGUGAAGAAGCUCAUUGAUCAAGGGAAGCUGACUUUUGAGAAUAAUGUUCCACAUGUCCUUGACAAUCCUCUUCCAAAUCAUGCCGCUGUGAAUAUGAUCGAAGUGUGUGAGGAAGCUCCUAGACUUGAUGUCCGCAAUGUCGCAACUCCUCUGGUGCCUCUACAUAUCAAGUUGUGCAAAGCUUCUCUGUUCAGCCAUGAUCAUGCCAAGUGUCUAGGAUGCCUCUGUGAUCCUUUGGGUUGUUAUACUGUUCAAGAGGACAUCCAAAGCUUGAUGAAUGAUAAUUUUCUGACUGUCAGUGAUGUCUGCGUGAUCGUGCCAGUUUUUCACGAUCCGCCUGUCAAGAGUGUACCUUUGAAGAAGAAUGCUGAGCCUCUGGUGAUAAGGUUGCCAGGACCAAUUCCUUAUGUUUCGGACAAAGCAGUGCCAUACAAGUACAAUGCUACUAUGAUAGAAAAUGGAGUAGAGGUGCCUCUAGCCUCCUUUGCCACAGUAAGCAAUAUUGCCGAAGGGACUUCUGCAGCGCUAAGAAGCGGGAAGGUCCGUCCGCCGUUAUUUCAGAAGAAAGUAGCUACGCCGACCAUUCCACCAGUUGAAGAAGCAACUCCAACCGUUGUUUCACCCAUUGCUACAGAUGUGAACCAGUCAGGCAAAUCUAUAGAGGAUUCGAAUUUAGAUGAGAUUCUGAGAAUAAUAAAGAGGAGCGACUACAAGAUCGUUGAUCAGUUGCUGCAGACUCCUUCGAAGAUAUCUGUCUUGUCAUUACUCUUGAGCUCUGAGGCUCACAGGAAUACCUUGUUGAAAGUGCUGGAGCAGGCUUAUGUUGACCACGAAGUUACGGUAGAUCGUUUCGGUGGCAUAGUGGGAAAUAUUACUGCUUGUAACAAUCUCUGGUUUAGUGAAGAAGAGUUGCCGGAAGCGGGAAAGAGUCACAAUCUGGCUUUGCACAUCUCGGUAAAUUGUAAAUCAGACAUGAUAUCAAAUGUGUUGGUGGAUACCGGUUCCUCUCUCAAUGUAAUGCCCAAGACAACUCUAGAUCAGUUGAGCUACCGUGGGACCCCGUUGAGGAGAAGUACUUUCUUGGUCAAAGCUUUUGAUGGAUCUCGAAAGAAUGUGCUGGGGGAGAUAGACUUGCCGAUAACCAUUGGCCCUGAGAAUUUCCUGAUUACCUUCCAAGUGAUGGACAUUAAUGCAUCCUACAGUUGCCUGCUGGGAAGACCGUGGAUACACGAUGCAGGUGCAGUUACUUCCACUUUACAUCAGAAGUUGAAAUUUGUGAAGAAUGGAAAACUCGUUACAAUCCAUGGUGAAGAAGCAUACUUAGUCAGCCAGUUGUCUUCUUUCUCUUGUAUUGAAGCAGGGUCUGCUGAAGGGACUGCUUUCCAAGGUUUGACCAUUGAAGGUGCAGAGUCUAAGGAAGCUGGGGCUGCUAUGGCUUCAUUGAAGGAUGCUCAGAGAGCCAUCCAAGAAGGUCAGACUGCCGGCUGGGGCAAGAUGAUACAGCUCUGUGAGAACAAGCGUAAAGAAGGUCUCGGGUUCUCCCCGUCAUCAAGGGUUUCCUCAGGGGUCUUCCACAGUGCUGGGUUUGUUAAUGCUAUCUCUGAAGAAGCCACUGGAUCUGGUCUCAGACCUGCAUUUGUUACACCAGGAGGCAUUACGACAAAUUGGGAUGCCAUUGACAUUCCAUCAAUCAUGCAUGUUUCUGAGUAAUGUGUCUUGUUGCUUUGAUGCUUUGUUUUCAAAAUAACAAUCCUCUCGCUCUGCCCAAAGCGAGAGUGAUAUUUUCUGUAAGGGCAUGUUUGUUUCGGCAUUGCCGUUGGUUAAUAAAAUUUUGUCGUUUCUUCCACGACUACUUUUUUUAGUGCUUUUUCCCUUGGAAACAAUGGUAAUGCCAGAAAAAACCAAAACAUUUGUAUUUUCUUAUUAAUUUCAAAAAUCUGCAUGAAAAAAAAAAAAAAACUCUUUCUAAAAUCAUCCAAUCAUUAUAUGCAGGUUGAACCAUAAUAAACCCGUUGAACACAGUAAUCCUACGGUUCCUCCAAAUUUUGAUUUCCCUGUGUAUGAAGCCGAAGAUGAGGAAGGUGAUGACAUACCGUAUGAGAUUACUCGGUUACUUGAGCAAGAAAAGAAAGCCAUUCAGCCUCACCAGGAAGAGAUUGAGCUUAUCAACAUAGGUACCGAGGAAAACAAGCGAGAAAUCAAGAUUGGUGCUACUCUAGAGGAAGGGGUUAAACAGAAGAUCAUCCAACUCCUCCGGGAAUAUCCGGAUAUUUUUGCAUGGUCCUAUGAAGAUAUGCCAGGUCUAGACCCUAUGAUCGUGGAGCAUCGGAUCCCUACCAAGCCUGAAUGUCCUCCCGUCAGGCAGAAAUUGAGAAGGACUCAUCCUGAUAUGGCUCUCAAGAUCAAGAAUGAAGUUCAAAAGCAGAUUGAUGCGGGUUUCCUCAUGACAGUUGAGUAUCCCGAAUGGGUUGCCAAUAUUGUGCCUGUGCCAAAGAAGGAUGGUAAAGUUCGGAUGUGUGUUGACUUCAGAGACCUGAACAAAGCCAGCCCAAAAGACAACUUUCCAUUACCUCAUAUUGAUGUGCUUGUUGAUAAUACUGCUCAAUCUAAGGUGUUCUCCUUCAUGGACGGUUUUUCUGGUUAUAAUCAGAUCAAAAUGUCUCCUGAAGAUAGAGAAAAGACAUCUUUUAUCACUCCAUGGGGUACUUUCUGCUACAAAGUGAUGCCAUUCGGUCUAAUUAAUGCUGGUGCUACCUACCAAAGGGGAAUGACUACUUUGUUUCAUGACAUGAUUCACAAAGAAGUUGAGGUAUAUGUGGAUGACAUGAUUGUGAAGUCAGCAGAUGAGGAGCAGCAUGUUGAAUAUUUAACAAAGAUGUUUGAAAGGUUAAGAAAAUACAAGCUGCGAUUGAAUCCCAACAAAUGUACAUUCGGUGUCAGGUCCGGAAAGUUAUUAGGCUUCAUUGUCAGCCAAAAGGGCAUUGAAGUCGAUCCUGAUAAAGUCCGGGCCAUCCGAGAAAUGCCAGCUCCACAGACAGAGAAGCAAGUCAGAGGCUUCCUCGGACGUUUGAAUUACAUCUCUCGAUUCAUAUCUCACAUGACCGCAACUUGCGGGCCAAUCUUCAAGCUACUCAGAAAGAAUCAGCCUGUUGUAUGGAAUGAUGAAUGCCAGGAAGCUUUUGAUAGCAUCAAGAAUUACCUGCUGGAACCACCUAUCCUUGUCCCACCCGUGGAAGGAAGGCCGUUGAUCAUGUAUUUGGCAGUAUUUGAUGAAUCCAUGGGAUGCGUGCUUGGUCAACAAGAUGAGACUGGAAAGAAAGAGCAUGCUAUCUACUAUCUAAGCAAGAAGUUCACCGAUUGUGAAACUCGGUAUACAAUGCUUGAGAAGACUUGUUGUGCUUUAGCUUGGGCUGCCAAACGCCUGCGUCAUUACUUGGUGAACCAUACAACUUGGUUGAUAUCCAGAAUGGAUCCGAUAAAGUACAUCUUUGAGAAAGCUGCUGUUACUGGAAAGAUUGCACGCUGGCAGAUGCUUUUGUCUGAAUAUGAUACUGUGUUCAAAACUCAAAAGGCAAUCAAAGGUAGCAUUCUUGCCGAUCAUCUUGCUUACCAACCUCUUGACGAUUACCAACCAAUGGAAUUCGACUUCCCUGAUGAAGAGAUCAUGUAUUUGAAAUCCAAAGACUGCGAAGAACCGUUGAUUAAUGAAGGUCCAGAUCCCAAUAGCAAGUGGGGUUUAGUCUUUGAUGGUGCUGUCAAUGCUUAUGGUAAGGGAAUUGGGGCAGUCAUUGUAUCCCCGCAGGGGCAUCACAUUCCUUUUACCGCCAGAAUCUUGUUCGAAUGUACCAACAAUAUGGCUGAGUAUGAAGCAUGUAUCUUUGGGAUCGAGGAAGCAAUUGACAUGAGAAUCAAACACCUCGACAUCUAUGGAGAUUCUGCGCUCGUCAUCAAUCAGAUAAAGGGUGAAUGGGAGACCCACCAUGCUAAUUUGAUUCCUUAUCGUGAUUAUGCGAGACGUUUGCUGACAUAUUUUACAAAGGUUGAGCUGCACCAUAUUCCUCGUGAUGAGAACCAAAUGGCUGAUGCUCUUGCUACUCUAUCCUCCAUGUUUCGAGUAAACCAUUGGAAUGAUGUGCCAAUAAUUAAAGUGCAACGCCUUGAAAGACCUUCGCAUGUGUUUGCUAUUGGGGAUGUAAUCGAUCAGGCUGGUGAAAAUGUGGUUGACUAUAAACCCUGGUACUACGACAUCAAACAGUUCUUGCUAAGCCGUGAGUAUCCGCCGGGUGCUUCCAAACAAGACAAGAAGACCUUGAGAAGAUUGGCCAGUAGAUUCCUGUUAGAUGGAGAUAUUCUGUACAAGAGAAACUAUGACAUGGUAUUGUUAAGAUGUGUUGAUGAACAUGAAGCAGAGCAGUUAAUGCAGGAUGUACAUGAUGGUACCUUCGGGACCCAUGCUACAGGGCAUACUAUGUCAAGAAAGUUGCUACGGGCAGGUUACUACUGGAUGGCCAUGGAGCAUGAUUGCUACCAGUACGCCAGAAAAUGUCACAAAUGUCAAAUAUAUGCUGAUAAGAUUCAUGUGCCUCCGCACGCCCUCAAUGUUAUGUCAUCCCCAUGGCCGUUCUCAAUAUGGGGCAUCGACAUGAUUGGAAGAAUUGAACCGAAGGCUUCAAAUGGUCAUCGUUUCAUCUUAGUGGCAAUUGACUACUUUACCAAAUGGGUUGAAGCAGCAUCUUAUACCAAUGUGACCAAGCAAGUGGUAGCUAAGUUCAUCAAGAACAACAUCAUCUGUCGAUAUGGUGUUCCCAGCAAGAUUAUUACCGACAAUGGUACCAACCUGAACAACAAUGUGGUGCAAGCUCUUUGUGAAGAAUUCAAAAUUGAGCAUCAUAACUCUUCUCCUUAUAGACCUCAGAUGAAUGGUGCAGUUGAGGCCGCCAACAAGAAUAUCAAAAGAAUUGUCCAGAAGAUGGUAACCACUUACAAGGACUGGCAUGAGAUGUUACCCUAUGCUCUGCAUGGCUACCGUACUACUGUGCGCAGUUCAACAGGGGCAACCCCUUUCUCUCUUGUAUAUGGUAUGGAAGCAGUUCUUCCUUUGGAAGUGGAGAUCCCGUCUCUCCGUGUGAUCAUGGAAGCAAAGUUAUCAGAGGCUGAAUGGUGCCAAAGCCGGUAUGAUCAGUUGAAUUUGAUUGAGGAAAAACGUAUGGAUGCCAUGGCUCGCGGACAGUCAUAUCAAGCAAGAAUGAAGACUGCUUUUGACAAGAAAGUACAUCCUCGAGAAUUCAAGGUAGGAGAACUUGUAUUGAAAAGGAGGAUAAGCCAGCAACCCGACCCAAGGGGCAAGUGGACGCCUAACUAUGAAGGUCCUUAUGUUGUCAAGAAGGUCUUCUCCGGUGGUGCUUUAAUCCUUACACACAUGGAUGGUGUAGAACUUCCAAAUCCAGUGAAUGCCGAUAUAGUCAAGAAAUACUUUGCCUAGAAAUGUGAAAAGAACAGCGUGGUAGGUCGAAAACCCGAAAGGGCGGCCUAGGCAAAAAUGCGCUUCCCGGUGGAUCGAAAACCCGAAAGGGCGGUCCAGGCAAAAAUAAGGGACAAAAAAAAAACAAAUAUGAAAAGCUCGCUGAGAUUGUACACAACUCAGGCAAGAAUGAGCGUCUCGAUGAGCCGAAAACCCGGAAGGGCGGUUCAUGCAAAAAUGAGAUUGAAACAAAAGGCAAGUAACUAUAUCUGGCCAACCACCGUCCCCCUUGGGGCAUCUGCAGCUGUCAAUGCCUAUCUUCAUCAAAAGCUUCUGUACUUGUGAAUUCAAAGUUUCUAAGAACUGUCAUGAUUACUGUGUUCAAUGUACCACCAACCAAUAAAAUUACCAUUUUCCAAGCUUUGUAAAUCCGUGGAGUCACGCCUUCGGCUGACCACCACUCUUACACAUCAAUUUGAGCCUUUGCUUUUGUUUGAAAACUCUAUUUUUUCUUCUACUUUCAAAGCUAUAUACAAAACAUUUUCUUUCUAUUUUGAUAAUGACAAUGCUUGAAACAAACAUUUUGAAAAUUGAAAACUUUUUUGUCUAUUUUGAAAAGCAAACCUGAGCAACAGGGUACAUUCAAACGAAACAUGCAUAAGCGAGAGUAUGUCGAUGUCUAUUUCAAUAUAUGUUACAAGCAGGUUCACCUCCAAGAUAAUCUGUGGUCAAUGGCAAGAAUGAAAAAACAGAAUGAAAAUGCAUGAAAUUGAAUGAGCUCGCUAAGUUGAAAACCCGGAAGGGCGGCUUAGGCAAAAAUGAGCACCCCGCUGGAUUGACAACCCGAAAGGGCAGUUCAGGCAAAAAUGGGGCAUUGAAAAGAAUCUAUUUCCCCGGUGGAUCGAAAACCCGAAAGGGCGAUCCAGGCAAAAAUGGGAUGCAAAAAAUGAAUGAAUGAAAUUAAGAAUAUAACAUGCAAAAAGCAUUGACCACAGAUGCAAUGUCUACAACGUACCCAGUACUGAAAUGCCCAGCACAACGGCGUUUUCCCCAGUAAAGUCUUCCAAGAUUCUAUCUCCAGCAAGUUGCAUAGCUACCUGCCCUCAGCCAUGGUUCCGAUACGUCUCCCAACGACGUCAUCUUCAAAGAGGAUUUCCAAGAAUGUGUAAUAUAGCACGAGCCACUACGUGCCCAAUACUCUGAUGUCUUGUCUUCCCCGUGAAGUCGUGCCUACAAACUGCCAACAGUCAUGCAUUACAAGCAUUCAUACAUGCAUAAUCAUGCAUAUUACGUGCCCAUGCAUUUAAUGAAACUGUUAUAUCAUCCAUACAUAUUGCAUUUCCAAUGACAACAUCAGUCUCAAUUCAAUACUCAUGUCAGGUUCUCUGUCAAAACCUUGUGAGCCAAUAAUAUCGGUCAAUUUCUGCCUUUCAAAUCAAAUCGAUGUCAAGUCAAUCUCAAUCUAUAUUUUGUCAAACAAACCAAUCCCCAGUGAAUAUGUUUCUGUUUGGUCAAGUGGCUAGUUCAAGUCCAAGAACAGCUUGCGCCUGUCUAUUUUGUAUUUGUCUCCGGUGGAGUAACCAGUUCGCAUCCAAGAGCAAGCUCGCACCUGUCUAUUUGCCUUGCUUUCAGUCGAGUAACCAGUUCGAAUCCUUAAGAACAACUCGUAUUUGUCAAUUUCCCCAGUCGGGUCACCAGUUCGAAUCCAUAAGAACAACUCGCACUUUCCAAUAUCCCCAAGUGAGUCAUCAGUGCGAAUCCAUAAGAACAACUCAUGUUUGUCCAGUAACCUCUAUCCCCUGUGAAGUGACCAGUUCGAAUCCAUAAGAACAACUCGCAGUUGUCUGUUUGUUUCAUCCCCGGUCAAGUGGCUAGUUUGAAUCCAAGAACAGCUUGUACCUGUCCAACUUGUUUCCAGUUUCCCGUUACUCUGCUAUUUACUAUCUUUGUCAAUGUCUACCAAUCCCGCAAUGGAUACGACAUAUUUUGUUAAUUCCAAUCCCCAUGAGGUCUUGCAUUCAUAAUCCAAAUGAUGCAUGGCAUGCAUAUUAUUUGAAAAUGGGUAGGCGUAUUUUUACGUCCAAACACAGUGCAAAUGCUAAUAUUUAAGUAUCUUCGUCCUGUCAAGCCAAAGACUCCGUCUCUUGACUCUCCAGACAAAGAAACUUAAAUAGGGGCAGCUGUUAUACCCUGUUUUUGGACCUAAAAAUACUGGGCCCAAUUUCAUUUCAAACUUUGUCAACUAUCAAAUUUCAAUUGCACAGUUCAAAUUGUCUCUGCCUCGCAGUAUUUUCAAUCACAAUUUUACCUAUGUUUUUCUUGCAUAAAACCUUUCAAAAUGUCUUUACUUGUCUUGUAAGUCAUUCGAAAGUGUCUCUGAAUCAUUGCGUUGCUUUUUCUACGGUUUAUUUCAAAAUUUGCAAAAAGUCAUACAGAAGGGUAUUUUGGUCAUUUCCUGCAGUGGGACCCAUUUUCAUCCUUGUGACUGUCUCUGAGUUUUUUCAGAUUAUUUUUUUAGCAUUUCAUCAGUAAACCUUGCUAAUUUCAUUUCAAACUUGCGUCUGAGUCAGUGGCAAGUCUGUUUGAGUCAGUUUAGGUCAUUUUUAGCCCUAGGGGCAUUUUGGUCAUUUCACACGAAAUUUUGGCAUGGGGAGGUUACUUUGAAGUACCUCAUUUAGGCCAUUGGUUCAUUUUAGUCCGUUUUGUCAAUUUUAUUUUUGUUUCGCUUUACGUUUGAUCAAAUUGCACUUUUUUAUUCAAUUGCAUUUUGGUCCCUCAAUUGAGGUCCCAAAAUUACAUUUCAGUCCAAAAGUUUCUAAAAAUUGCAUUUCAGUCCUUUUAUUAUCAUUUUUUCUGCAGAAACGCCCCAAAGGGCAUUUUGGUCCAAAUUUUCGCACAAAUUUUAGUCCAGUCCAGGUGUCUUUUUUUCAUUGGUUCAGGUACACAUGGCAGCAUAUAAAAGGGAAACAGUGUCAGAUUUUUUUGAAGGAUUCCAUUCACACAGUGACACAUCACAAACAGAUCAAAACUUUCUCUCUCCAUUCUGUUAGAUCAAAGAAAACAGAAUCACCAAGAACACAGAAAUUCAUCAAACCCUAACACACAAAUUCAUAACAAAAUCAUCAAAAUCCAUUGAAAUUUCUGCAAAUCUCAGGAGAUUCGUCAGAGAAUCAUCAUCAUCGAUUUGUUCCUUUCGCAAUACGAGUGCGAAUCCGUCACCGGACUCAAGCACGAUCACGAAAGGCGUGCGAAUCCGAGAAGAAGAAGGGAAAAACAGAAUCUGUACAGAAGCACGCAAGCAACGCGCACGCAAGCAAGCAGCGCGCACGCAAGCAAGCAAGCACGCAAGCAACGCGCACGCAAGCAAGCAGCGCGCACGCAAGCAAGCAACAAGCAAGCAAGGACGCGAGCAAACACGCGGAGCAACAAGAUCGUGAGGUAACCGCCGUCGUUCUUCCUCUUUUCCCUUCCGUUUUCUUAAGUUUUUUCAUCAAGGUUCAAGUUUAGAUCUACUCCGAUUCAAAGCUCUUUUGAAAAAUCUAAGCUCGGAUUCGAGUAAUACAUAAAAAAGGAUGUUUAAAAACGUAAAAAAAAUUUGAAUCGGAGCAGUUUCGAACUCCGGCGCGGAGGCGCCACCGCCGUCCGCCGCGCCGGAAAAGCCAUGCCAACCGGAGAAGAUGACCGGAAAGUUAGAGAGAAGUUGGAGCUUCUCUCUCUAAAAAGAGAGAAGAAAGAGAAAGAGGAGUAUCAAAAUGAAAAAAACCGGAUUUCACCUCUAUAUAUAGAGACUUGAACCGGUCCGGUUUAUUUUCGGUUUUACUCUCUCAUUCUCAGCCUUCAGAUCAAUCUAACGCUCCCUGUUGCUCCGGAUUUUUUGGCAUGGUUUGGGCCUUUCACUUUCGUUUUUGCUUUCUUUUUUUUGUUAUUUGCACCACUUUUCUUUGCUGUUUGAACCCCUGCAUGCUUAAAAUUUUCCCUAAAAAACCUCCAAAAAUUAUCACAUGUUUCUUGAUAUUUUCUCAGUGUUUUUAUGACAUUUUUGCACAUUAAGGAUCUAUGAAAUUUUGGUAUAAUUAAUUCAUAGCAUUUUAAUUCUCUUUGAAUUAUUUGUUAUGGAUUCUUCUUCACACAUUUGUCCUUGAUGUGAGAAUAUGUAAUAAAAGCUACUUGAUGUGUUAAUAUGAGAGAUUUGUGCCUAUAAUUUCAUGUUGAUUUGCUGUUUUGAUUUGGUUCAUAAGUUCUUGAUUUUAUGAACAAUAUAUGCAUAUUUUGAAAGAUAUAAAAUGCCAAGUUUAUUCUAGAAAAUAUGGCAUGAAACCAUGCUUGCAUGUUUCCAAUAAUUCCAUGCUAUAACUUGAGAUAAAGAAAACUCUUUCAAAAUUUGUUAAAGCAUGAGAAUUAGAGGCCAAGAAUGCUUUAGGUUUCAUACCUAAAUUUUUAGGGUUUAAUGUCAUUUUGUUAACUUUUUGUGCCAUCUUGCAUGCUUUUAUUUCUUAGUACUUGUUAUGUUUUUUUCUUUUCACUAACAAGUUUAUUUCCAUGUUUCAUGCAUCUCAUUUAGCAUUCCCUCCACCUUCUUUAGCCUAGCAUUUAUUUUUGCAAGUUUUAAUUCCUUUAGAGAUGUAAUUUGUCAUCAUUAUUUUGUAGCUUGGCAAAGGGGCCAUAGAAUGUAUUUAGGCAAUUUUUGUAAUAUGGACUAUGGACACUAUGACGCACCGACACGCACACACUCACCUUAGAUGUAUGCAUAGGAUUGUAUGGUUAAAUAAGCGUUUAGGUUUUAAACACUUAGAGAAAAUCCAUCUUUUCCAAAAAAAACAAUUGAACUUCACUUCAAAAAUUUUCAUAAUAAAUAUGAAGUCAACACUUCAUUUUUUCCUUUCUUUUUUCUUAAGAAAAAUUCAAUUCAUCUUAAUCAUUUAGACUUUCUUUCUAAUCACUAAUCAAACCUCACUUUUUUUGCUAAAUCUAAUGCUCAUGAAGCCUCCCAAUCUCCUUCUUCAAAACCUUUUUUUUCAAAACUUAAAAUCAAACAAUUAAAACAAAAAAAAACAAGUUUCUUUAGCAAGAACUACGAACGGUUUUGAUCCCGUAAAACGGUACGUAGGCAAUGAGUCAAAACUCAUCCAAGCCGAAAUAAAAUCAAAUUCUACUUCUUCUCACCCCCAUUCUUCACUAAUCAUACCUUCUUUUUACAAAUAAGCAAUAAAACUAAAGCGUAGAAAUAAACUUAGGAGAACGGCUCUUAUGGAAUACCAUAAUCGCUCCGGGUGCCUAACACCUUCCCGUAGUGAAAACGACCCCCGAAUCCGGAAACUCAAGGGUUUUUCUCCUUUUACCCUUCCCAAGAAAAAAGAGAGGUAUCAACGGUCGAAAGGUACAAGUCCAAUUAAUGGCUUGGCACCCAAAAACCAUGAUAACAGUAUGGCAUAAAAGGUUGGGACAUGCUAAUUGGAGAUUAAUUUCUAAAAUUAGCAAGUUACAACUGGUCAAAGGAUUGCCUAACAUUGAUUAUCAUUCAGAUGCACUUUGUGGUGCAUGUCAGAAAGGGAAAAUUGUGAAAAGUUCGUUCAAAUCUAAAGACAUUGUAUCAACCUCCAGACCCUUAGAAUUACUCCAUAUUGAUCUUUUUGGUCCAGUUAACACUGCAUCCUUAUAUGGAAGUAAAUAUGGAUUAGUCAUUGUUGAUGAUUACAACAGAUGGACUUGGGUAAAAUUCAUUAAAAGUAAAGACUAUGCAUGUGAAGUGUUUAGCAGCUUCUGCACUCAAAUACAAUCUGAAAAAGAAUUGAAAAUUUUGAAAGUCAGAAGUGAUCAUGGUGGAGAAUUUGAAAAUGAGCCAUUUGAAUUUUUUUGUGAAAAACAUGGGAUUCUCCAUGAGUUUUCCUCUCCUAGAACUCCACAACAAAAUGGAGUUGUAGAGAGAAAGAACAGAACUUUACAAGAAAUGGCCAGAACCAUGAUCCAUGAAAACAACUUAGCUAAACAUUUUUGGGCAGAAGCAGUCAAUACUUCAUGUUAUAUUCAAAAUAGGAUCUAUAUCAGACCUAUGUUGGAGAAAACAGCAUAUGAACUCUUUAAAGGAAGAAGACCCAAUAUCUCUUACUUUCAUCAGUUUGGAUGUACCUGUUACAUCUUAAACACUAAAGACUAUCUGAAGAAAUUUGAUGCCAAGGCUCAAAGAGGAAUCUUUUUAGGUUACUCUGAAAGGUCGAAGGCAUACAGAGUGUAUAAUUCAGAAACACAAUGUGUUGAAGAAUCUAUGCAUGUAAAAUUUGAUGAUAGAGAGCCUGGAAGUAAAACUUCAGAGCAAAGUGAAAGUAAUGCAGGUACAACUGAUUCUGAAGAUGCAUCAGAAUCUGAUCAACCUUCUGAUUCUGAAAAGUAUACAGAAGUUGAAUCUUGUCCAGAAGCUGAAAUCACUCCAGAAGCUGAGUCUAAUUCAGAAGCAGAACCUAGCCCAAAAGUACAGAAUGAAAGUGCUUCUGAGGACUUUCAAGAUAACACUCAGCAGGUUAUUCAACCUAAAUUCAAGCACAAAUCUUCACAUCCUGAGGAGUUAAUCAUUGGAAGCAAAGAUAGUCCUAGAAGAACAAGAUCACAUUUUAGACAAGAAGAGUCUUUAAUAGGACUGCUUUCAAUAAUUGAGCCUAAAACUGUUGAAGAAGCUCUCUCAGAUGAUGGAUGGAUAUUAGCUAUGCAAGAAGAGCUAAAUCAAUUCCAAAGGAAUGAUGUGUGGGAUCUGGUACCCAAACCUUCUCAGAAGAACAUUAUUGGAACAAAAUGGGUAUUCAGAAACAAGCUGAAUGAACAAGGAGAAGUAACCAGAAACAAAGCCAGACUUGUUGCUCAAGGCUACAGUCAACAAGAAGGCAUUGAUUACACUGAAACAUUUGCUCCAGUUGCAAGAUUGGAAGCAAUCAGGUUACUUCUAUCCUACGCAAUUAAUCAUGGCAUAAUAUUAUAUCAAAUGGAUGUCAAAAGUGCUUUUCUUAAUGGUGUCAUUGAAGAAGAAGUGUAUGUUAAACAACCUCCUGGGUUUGAGGAUCUUAAGCAUCCUGACCAUGUUUAUAAACUUAAGAAAUCACUAUAUGGCUUGAAACAAGCUCCCAGAGCUUGGUAUGAUAGACUAAGUAAUUUCUUAAUUAAAAAUGAUUUUGAAAGAGGACAAGUUGACACAACACUCUUCAGAAGGACUCUUAAGAAAGAUAUUUUGAUUGUGCAAAUAUAUGUUGAUGAUAUAAUAUUUGGUUCUACUAAUGCAUCUCUUUGCAAAGAAUUUUCUAAGUUAAUGCAGGAUGAAUUUGAAAUGAGUAUGAUGGGAGAAUUGAAAUUCUUUCUGGGAAUUCAAAUCAACCAAAGUAAAGAAGGAGUAUAUGUUCAUCAAACAAAAUAUACAAAGGAGCUUCUGAAGAAGUUCAAGCUAGAAGAUUGUAAAGUGAUGAACACUCCAAUGCAUCCAACCUGCACCUUAAGCAAAGAAGAUACUGGAACAGUAGUAGACCAGAAGCUAUACAGAGGUAUGAUUGGUUCUCUGUUAUACCUCACUGCAUCUAGACCUGAUAUUUUAUUCAGUGUAUGCUUGUGUGCAAGAUUUCAAUCAGAUCCUAGAGAAUCUCAUUUAACUGCAGUUAAGAGAAUCUUCAGGUAUCUGAAAGGAACAACUAAUCUUGGACUCCUGUAUAGGAAAUCCCUAGAUUAUAAGUUGAUUGGAUUCUGUGAUGCUGAUUAUGCUGGUGAUAGGAUUGAAAGAAAAUCAACCAGUGGAAAUUGUCAAUUCCUGGGAGAGAAUCUGAUAUCCUGGGCAAGCAAAAGACAAGCAACUAUUGCUAUGUCUACAGCAGAAGCAGAGUACAUUUCAGCUGCAAGUUGUUGCACACAACUACUUUGGAUGAAACAUCAGUUGGAAGACUAUCAGAUCAAUGCUAACAGUAUUCCCAUUUAUUGUGAUAAUACUGCUGCUAUUUGUUUGUCAAAGAAUCCAAUUCUACAUUCAAGAGCCAAGCAUAUUGAAAUCAAACACCAUUUUAUCAGAGACUAUGUUCAAAAAGGAAUUUUAGAUAUACAAUUCAUUGAUACUGAACAUCAAUGGGCUGAUAUAUUUACAAAACCUUUGUCUGUUGAAAGAUUUGAUUUUAUUAAGAAAAAUUUGAACAUGCAUUUUGUGUCUGAUUGAAAAAUUGCUUGCCUCUGAAUAAGAAGUUUGGUUCUGAAGUUUAUUCAGGAGCAUUUUGGUUCAUCAGAAGCUCUUAACUGAGGUUCUGAGGAAAAUGUGCUUCUGAAGAUGACGUCAGCACUAAAACUUCAGAAGUGUUAUUCUUUGCUUCUGAAUAGCUUGGUUAGUGGGAACGUUGGUAGUUACUUUAUGUAAACAGCUGUCCCAUUACCCAAAAAGCAGUUUUCUGAAGAGUCUCUGACGUGGUCUAUUUGUAUUGGAGUAUAACAAAAAGGGCAAUGAUGUUUUAUUCGCUUUUUAACAUACUUACACGCGCCCCCAAUUUGUCAUUAAUGUUAUGUUUGUUUGUCUCUAUUGAAUUGCAAACGGUUUAAUAAAAACACUAAGUCAAUUCACACACUACUCACUUCACAACAAACACUUUCUAUUUUUCGUCUUAACCCUCUGCGAAAGUAAACGCAUUCUCUCAUCCUCUCAAAAACUCUUUAGAACCCUAAAACCACUUCAUAUCAAUGGCAUCUUCAAGUUCUGCCGGUGGUUCUUCAUCGAAUAUGGAUAUAGAUACUCCUGCUUAUGAAAUCAAAGGAAGAACUAUGUCGAUUGAGGAAUGGGAUCUAAUCAUUCAAGCGGAAAAUCCAGUGGAUUUCACUUCUCUAACUCAUCAUGGAUGCGACUUGGUAAGAUUCUACAAAAAGCAGAAGCUGAUGAGUUACUUCAGUCUUCUCAACGGUCCUACUUAUGAAGUGCUUGUCAGACAAUUCUGGGUAAGAGCUUCAGUGUUUGACAAAGUUGCUGCUAAACAGGAAGAAGCUCAGAUGAUUCUGGUUGAUCCUACUUUGGAGGGAAAAACCAGAGAAGAAAUGGGUCUACUCGCCUUCACUGGGACUGAGAUUAGAUCAAACGUCAUGGGGAUUCCUGUAACAAUCAAUGAGCAUGUGAUUGCUCAAGCCAUGAGAAGGGAUGCUUCUGGGACAUACGAUGGAGAAGAGAUUCCUAACCCCAGAACAAGCCCAUGGAAGGAGAUAGUAAACAACACUAUCUACGGAUCAAAGGAUGCUAAGCCUUACAGCACCUUAAGCAUGGAAAAGAAAAUGCUGCUGAAGAUCCAAAAUGAAAACAUUUUUCCCAAAGGUGGAGGAAAUGAUCAACCUUCACUUGGUCACAAAGUCUUUCUGCAUCACACCAUCUCUCAGGAAACAACAAUGAAUGUUCCCAAAUAUAUGUUUAAAUACAUGAUCAAGGAACUCAAGAAGAGCCAGAUGGAGAACAGGAAGUUUGUUCCCUAUGGAAGGCUGCUCUCCAUAAUCUUUCAAGAAGGAGGACUCCUAAGUGCCCUGAAAGACGUGGGUAUUUAUGAUAAUCAGAAGCUGGGAGCAGUCACAGGAAAAAUAAUCAAUGGGGCAACUCUAGUCAAGAUGAGGCUGAUUUCAACUUGCAAGAAACUAGAUACAGAUAUGCAUGAAUCUGAUGUCAUAUCUGAUCUAGUCACUCAUCACAUCCCUAUCUGCAAGAAAGAUCCCCUGGAUGUGCAGAUGGCCUACAUCUUGGACUACUACAAGAGCUACAACAAGAAAAUCAGCCUGAAAGAUAUCCCAGAAGAAAUGUAUGGUGGUGAUCUGCCUGUGGCCAAAGGCAGAAAAUCUAAAAAGAAGCAGAUCACCAAGGAAGAAUACCUUGCUGAAGAUGCUACUGAGAUGGGUGCUCAGAAGCAUAAGAAAGCUAAGAAGGAAAAAUCUGCUAUGUCCACCAUUCUUGAGGAAGUGGAGGAUUUGGAUGAUGUCCCUCUUAUCAAAAAAGGGACAAGGAGUACUCAAGAAACAGCAGAACAGCCUGCUUCUGAACAAACUGGUUCUGAACAAGCUGCUUCUGAUCAAGCUGCUUCUGAAAAGCCUUCAAGUCCCAAAAAUAAAAGAGAAGCUGCUCUUCAGACCAUCAAAAGGAAGAGGUCUAAUUCAACAAGAAAUCUGAAGACAGCUGAAGGAAGAAGGGAAGAAAUGUUGAAAGAACUGGAAGAGAACUGGGAUGAAGACUCAAGCCCCAAGAAGGCAAAAAGGACUGCAACUUCUGAGCCCAUAGUCAUGCCCAGUUUUGAAAUGACUGAAGAAAUGAGGCAGUACGCUAGAGAGGUUUCUGCAUCCAAGAUAGCAGAAAAGAAAAGGUUGAAGGAAGUGUUUGAGAAAGAAAGGGAUGAGCGUCUCAAGGCUGCAGGGUAUGUGCCUACUCCUGACAUUGCUGCUUUAGCGUCUGAGUUAGAAACAGUUCAGUAUGGAGCAACUCUGCUUUCUCAAGCCUUGAAGAAUAAGCAAGCUUCAGGAGCAACUUCAUCAGAUCCAGUUUCAACAGCUCCAGAAGCAAUUCAUCCAGAAGCUCAGUCCUCAGGUAAUCCAUCUAAAGCUCCAACUAAUACUCAGUCUCCAUCUCUACCCUCUUCACCCUCUUCAUCAUCCACAGAAUCAGAUGACCAACCCCUUAGCCAACAUAUAGACAAGCUUCUAAAAACCAAACCUACCAAACUAACAGAAUUUGGAACACUUGACUAUGAGAGUACUCAAAUAGAAUUUUCAAAAAAUAGGAUAAAACUUUGUGAGAAAUUCAAUUUGCCUACUACUCAUCCACUAUAUCCAGAUACUCCAGAACCUGUUAGUAUACAACAACCUGAACCUACCCAAACAAACUCACCAAAUAACCAAUCUCCACAAAAAGCCUCUGAAGUAGCUUCAGAUGCAACUACUUCAGAAACCCCCCAACACCAAGAAUCCUCAACCCUUCACAACUUAGAAAAACAUCUAGGUGGUGAAAUGCAACCAACACCCACUAAGGCCUCGAAGACAGUUUCUGAAAAGACUGUCUUGGAAACCCAAACAGAAACCCAAACCAUCCCUGAGCAAACUGUUCAGGAGCAAACUGCUUCUGAACAAGUUGCUCCUGACCAAACAACUUCUGACCAAACAACAGAACAACAACAACAACCAGAUUCACCCACUAUAAUAGACUUAACCUCUGACCAACCUUCCACAUCAAAUACAACUCAAACUGAACCUUCACCCAUCCCUGACCAUAUCCUAGAGUCUGAGUAUAUAGAGGAACAACUGAUCAGACUUAGUGAUGAGAUUCAGGCACUGAUUCCUCGCAGAACAGUUCCUGCACCUCCUAUUCACUAUUAUGAUCAGUGGAUGGAUCUACAGAAGAGCUUUGAUGAGCUGCUGGAUCAGCUUAGAACUAAAUGUGUGUCAUCUCACUCUGCUAUGCUGAAAAAGCUUUUGGAUGAUAUGCAUGAAGCAGCUAAGGAGAAAGAGCUGAAUUUUGUGCCUCUGCUGGACAUCACUCCUUUCUAUCCAGAAGAAGAGUACAUCACUAGGGCUGCUAGAAUUCAGGCUGGAUUUAAACGAAGAAUGAGGGAAAAGGAUGAGCUACUUCAGAAGAAGGAUGAUCAGAUCAAGUAUCUCUUAGAACAGUUGUAUAAGCAAGCCCAACCUUAGUUGCACACCCAACUCUAGCUUGUUUUUUACUUUUGUUCUUCGUAGCUGUGUCCUUGUAUCUUAAUCUUCUUUAUAUAUAUUAUCAUUGUUUCUGGAUCUUGUGCUUUUUCACCUUCAAUAUGUUUUACAAGCUUUAACUCUGAUGAUAUUUACUGUUUAAUGCUGCUUGCUCUGAUACUCUUUCUUUUGUUUCUAUUCUUUUUGUUGAUGACAAAAGGGGGAGUAAAUGUAUAGUAUUUGUUAAGGCACUGAGCCCUACUAUAACCACUUCUAAAUUUCUUUUAAAUACUUCUGAUUUGAUUUUAUAAGUAUUUUAUUGAAAUUUAAUUAAUAAGAAUAGAACUUAGGGGGAGCUUACAAACCUCACCUUAAAGAACUAUUAGACUUAGGGGGAGCUUACAAACCUCUGUCCCAGUAGUCAACUUAUUAAUUAGAUCAACAACAAUUGAACAUUUUAAAUACUAUUGUUUGUCAUCAUCAAAAAGGGGGAGAUUGUUGGAACAAAAUGUGUUUCACAAUGAACCUUAUUAAGUUUUGAUGAUAACAAGGUAUUAAAAAAUUGUCAAUUGGUUAUUACUAAUAAUUGUUCAAGUGUACAGGACCAAAGGCUACUCAAGUUAUUUCAAUAGGUCUUGGAAGAACAAUGGAAAGAAAAAAAGAAAUUCUGAGCAUCUGAAGAAAACUGCUCCUGAAGCUAAACUGCUCCUGAAGAGAUGACGUCAUCAGAAGCAGAAAGUCAUCAGAAGCAGAAAGUCAUCAGAAGCAAAAGUUUUCAUCAGAAGCAAUAUCUUCACCAGAAGCUACUUUUGAUCCUUUAAUCAAACUGAAGAUUCAAAGUUGCUGAUUCUCAAUUCAGUCUUAUCAAAGAAGAACAAAGAAUUGAAAGGGAGGUAUCAACGGAUAUAUGGAUAGCACUGAGCUCUUGUCUCUCGUUAAUAGAGUUGACAAAGUACAAGUGUACAACCACUACCUCCACUACUCUGUUUUCUGUCUACGCUACAAGACAAAACAACAGCCAUGCCUGCAGAAUUUGUACACUCAAGAUGGGAAUGAAUUUGAAGUUUAUUCUUCAAAGGACUACACCCAAAUCAGGCAAAGGAUCACUGGUGGAUAAUCAAAGGAUUUCAAACGACUCUUUAGACGUGCUGAUUAUCUCAACGUCUCUUUCACACCUCUAUAUAAAGGAAUGAAGACUUGAAGAUUUAAGAUAGAGAUACAUAAGUUCAAAAGCGCCAAAACUCUGUCAAUUUGAUUCUAAAAAGCACACUGAAUUUCUGCACUGAUUUGAUACAUCUUAGAAAUUCAAAGUCUAGAGUCUUUUCUGUAUUGUAUUGUGAACACCACUGAUUGUAUAUCAAGUGUUCAAUUCAAACUCAAUUCUCUGUAUUUUUGUUUGAUUAGAAGUCUCUUGCCUGCGUGCUUGAGCAUUAGAAGUCUCUUGCUUAGUGCUUGAGCAUUGGAAGACUCUUGCGUGUGUGCUUGAGCAUUGUUUUGUGAAGUCUCAUACUUUGAUAGUAUUGAGCAUUUGUAAUCUUUGUGAUUAUAGUGAAAUCUCCUUGGAAGUGCAAGGGGGACUGGACUACUUCCGUGUUGUGGAAGGAACCAGGAUAACUGCUUGUGUCUUUGUCUUUCUUUUCUCUGCUCUGUUCUUUUCCGCUGCAUAUCUGAUUCUGAUCAUUUCAUCAGAAGCACUCUCAGUCUGCUUCUGAAGAUUUAUCAGAAGAAGUAUUAAUUAAGAGAAAAAGAAAACACAAUUCAACCCCCCUUCUUGUGUUUUUCUCACCUUCAUACAGGAUUGAUUAAGAAUGUUUGAGAGUUUUCAAUUGGUAUGUGUUGUUUGUCUUGAGGAUUAUCAAGGUUGGCCGGUUGCCACUUGGUACGGUAUUGUCGGAAAUAGUUCAUUUAAGUCAAUUGUCUUAUGAUUUAUCGUGACUGUUCUUAUAUGACUAAGUGAAGUUGUAUGAAUGAAUGAUUGUAUGUUGGAUAUGAUGUUUAUCAUGAGAUGUCGUAUGUUCUCUUACUUAGAAUGUAACCAAUGCUUGAAAUGGUGAAAAUAUAUGAGGUGGUUGAUGUUGAAUGACAUUGUUGAUUAUUGAUGAUCAUGUUGAUGUAGUGAUGAUGAAUCUUAAUUGAAUUAUGAUUUGAUUGUGUAUGGACAUGAUUUCAUGAUAAUGCAAUUGUUGUGGAGAUGAUCAAUAUAUUUGGAAGUUGUCCUUUAUAUUGUGGUGAAAAUUGUGAAGUGAUGUUGCAUUAUCGAGUCUUUGUACAUGUCCAUGCAUCAUAGUCGUGUUGAGAUUUUAUAUGAUGUUUUUGUUACAUCAUUGGGCUUCGGCCUAGCAGAGAUCAUUUAGUGAUCUAGUUUUGUAGACUUCGAUCUUGCAGAGAUCCGUUAGUGAUCUAGAUUGUAGGCUUCGGCCUUGCAGAGACCUUUGGCGGUCUAGAUAUAGGUGACGACCUUGGAGUGAAAUGGUACCACAUGCAUAUAUGUGUCGAACUAGGUGCACAUCAUGACAUGAGUCUUAUUGGUGGAAUGUGAAUGAUGAUUGUGUAUGAAUAAAUGUGAUUUGAUAAUUGUUCAUGCCACAUGCGAUUGGUGAUUAAUUGAUGUAAGAUAUUGGAAUUAUGGUAUGAAUGUAUAUGUAGAUAUUAUUGUGAUUAAGUAUAUGAUAUUUGAAUUGAAUUAUUCAUGUUAACUGUUAUGUGGAUUAUGAUGAUGUAAUACUUACCCCCAGUGGGUUUUGACCGCCUACCUGUCUGUAUGGAUGGGUAGACGCUGUGCAUGAUUAGUUGCUCCGGUGAGUUGAUUGUUGCUUGGUAGAUAUCGGGAGCUAUCUCCGAUAUCGGUGCUAGUCGAGUCUAGGUUGGCUCUGAUCUAGGCGUCUGUUAGAUUUCCUAGAUUUAUCUGUUUGGAUUUAUUUAUGUUGGAGAUUUACCCUUGUUGGGAUUUGGAGAUUCAUCUAUGUUGAUGUAUUAUUUGAUUCAUGACAUGUAUUGCUUCGAAGUUUGUUGAGAUUUUUAUGCAUGCAUGUUGAAUUUGAAUUUUGCAUGAUGACGUAGCAUCUGUUUCUUGAAUAAAUGUAUUAUUCGCAUGUUUUAUUGCUUUGAUAGAAAUAGGGUGUUACAGAGAUGAAUAAUGAGGAAUCCAUAAUGUGACGAAGAGUGAUGACGAAGAUAUUAUAUAUAUGUAAUUAAAUAAAUACGAUGAGAAAUGAUAAUAUUUAUAUGUUAGUGAUGAUGAGGAUGACAAUAACUAUAUCAGUAUGAUGAUGAGAGUAAUGAUGUUUAUCUAUGAUGAUGAUGAUGAUGAAGGUGGUGUAUAUAUAUUGACGAUGAGAAUGAUGACGUAUAAUUAUGAUGAUGACUUGAACGAUGAUAUCUAAUAUACAUUGAUGAUGAGAAUGACGAUGUUUACUUACGAUGACGAUGUGAAUGACGAUGAUGUGUUUGCCUUGAUGUUAUGCAUAACAGGAAGAGUUCGCAUUUAUGAUUCUGAUUUGUUGAUGAUGUUAUGAUCUUUUAAUACUUGAAGAGUCUGUCUCAUGCAUGCAUAUAUAGUCGUGUCUAGGAAUCAUGAUGAUGAAAUGACGAUGAAAGUCUAGUGACAUAUCUCUGGCAAAUUAUGACGAUGAAAGUCCAGUAACAUACCUCUGACAAAUUAUGACGAUAGGUGUGGUACCACAAUCAUAUAGGUCAUUAGGAGAGUCCAUGCUUAUAUAUGAUGAUGUUGUAUUGGGUGUUUAAGUGUGAAUAUGACGUGCUGCUGUGACAUGUAAAAUGAAGAGAUUAUACAUAGUAACUGUUGAGAAUGAUGAGAUAGUGGAGACUAUAUUCUUUUGAUAUUUAUUUAAUGUGCAUGUUUUUCCCUAUUAUUAUGUUAUGGCAGGAUUUCUCACCCCUUAUUUUGUUGUGUUGUUUUCUGUACGGUGAUUGUACCUUGAGUACAUAUACUUAGAUUAACAAGGAGUAGCUGUGGGACGUUUUAGAGGAUGGAGAUGAUGGGAUGCCCUCCGUUUAGUUCUGUUAUUUAGUAGUUGAAUAAGUUGUAGUCGCUACGAGCUCUGAUAUUGUAACACUAGGGUGGGGUUAGUGAUUUAAUUUUUAAUUGCAGUUUGAGUUGAAUCUUGGAAACUUUGUUACUUUCCUUUUAUGAUGUUAAAUAACGUGAAUAAUUUUAUUAAUACAAUUAGUGAAUUGUUUUCCUCUGUUUGACAAUCUUUACUGUAAAAGAAUUGGUAAUGCUUUUAUAUGAUUAAUGAUGAAUUUGUAACAUCCUCUCUAUUAAAUAUAUUUUAUUAUUUAAUAAUUAUCGUCGGAAAUUAGGGUGUUACAUUCGCUGCCGUGAACCUCCCACUACAACACAUCUUUGUGAUUCCAAUCAUUCCCAUUCGAUUUAAUUAGUCCAUCAAUGAUUGGAUCAAGAGCAACAACAUCUGAUAUUGAAUUCGAAACUGGUCCAUUAUGAGAGUUAACCUGAGAUGUUCAAUAAUACAAAUUGGAAAUCAAAUCACUAAUUUCAACUCAAUCAUACAAAUCAAAUCUAGUUUUCACAGACCAACACCGCUACUUUCAUCGAACAAAAAACCAGGAGAUUCCCGAUAAUGUAAGAGGGGAUUGCAACGAUUGUGACGACAACAUCAAGACAACAGUGAGAAGAAGGGGGAGGGGGACGAAACUGUGGGAGGCGGUUGGCGGCGGAGGUUGACGGUGAUGGUAGAAGAUUGGAGACUGAGUGUACGUAAGAGGAAAGAGGAAACAUAUUAAGUUUUGAUUUAUUAAAAACAAAUAUUAAUUUUUCAACUUCAAAUAAAUCUCAACCCUUAAAUAAUUUUUUUGCCACAUGUCUUCAAUCUAAGACCCCAAAAGGAAAAUUAAGCAUUGGGUAAAUUGAGCAUACAUGAACUCGAAUGUGUAAUGAAUAAUAACAAUAGUCUCUUAGUGUAUAAAAAUUUCAAAAUAAUCCCUGAUUGUGAAAUUUGUUAGUCAAAAUAGUUCACGAUGUUAAAAUGUUUUAUUAAUAUUAUCAUAUUAGUCUUUCAAAAAAAUAUAUAUAUAUAUAUAUAUAUAUGGAUAGGAUCAAAUGACACACAUGGUGUCAAAAUUAGUUUGUCACCAAAUCUUAUCCAUUCAUUUCAUUUAAUCCAAAGGCUUAAAACUACCAAAUUAAUUAACAUACAUCAAAUACUCUCUAUCACCUAAUUAAGAAACAUAUCUAUCAUCAUUAAUUCAUAAUCAAACAAUACCUUCUUGUUUUUGGUAGAUUCAAACCCUUUUUAUUUUCCCCUAAUUUUUUUCUUUUGGCCAUAAGCACAAACUCAAACUUUAUAAUUUUUAUAAAAUCAUGAUAAAUCUUAAUUUAGUUAAACAUGAGACACAACGAGUCCUCUAAAAAAAAUUAGACCUAUGAGUGACAAAAUAAUCUAAUUAGCAUGAACAAUUCAAUAAUCAUUUGUCGAGCUUGUUGGUUUUUUUUAAUACAAUUUAAUUAAUUAUUAAAAAAAUAUGAGUAUAUGAGAUAAAGACAAAGAAAUAUCAUUGAUGGUGAUGAUGACUCAAACAACCAUAGGUAUAUGAGUUCAACCAUUCAUUUUAUAAAAAAGUUUAAAAAAGAAGUUUGAGUAUGAUUAUAGAAAUCUGGGAAAAUUUAUAAAUUUGGGAAAAUAAAAAAGAGGAACAAAUAAACUUGGGGAAAUAAAAAUGGAAUGUUUGAUUAUAAAUUAAUGAUGAUAGAUAUUUUUCUUAAUUAGGUGAUAGAGAGUAUUUGGUGUAUAUUAAUUAAUUUAGUGAUAUUUUUAAGCCUUUGGAUUAAAUAAAAUGAAUGGAUGAGAUUUGGUGUCAAACUAAUUUUGACACCAUGGUGUCAUUUGAUCCUAACCUAUAUAUAUAUAUAUAUAUAUAUAUAUAUAUAUAUAUAUAUAUAUAUAUAUCAGUCUUUAUAAAUAUUUACUUAUUAUCAUUUGAAUCUUUAUAUAAAAAGAGUGUUAUUGUGAACCCUCAUGUAUAAGAGGAAUGCUAGGGUCACACCCUCUAACACUCUCCUAUAACACACUCCAAUCAUAAAUAGUCACAUCAUCUAUUGUUUUUGAACAAUGCUAGUGUCAAACGCUUUAACACACUCUCUUUAAUUGGUCCACAUCAUCCAUAUCUUGAAUCAUUUUUUUGGCCUACCGCUUCUUAAGGUUACUGCAUCUUUUAUUUACUUUUUCUUUUGGUCUUCUACCAAGACCAGCAUAGGGAAGCAAUUGAUCUAUCUCCCCAGUUCAAACCACCAGGACCAUCCCUUCAUCCACCCUUAAUCCACCUCCAUCAACAACCACUCAACUUCAAAUUUGUUGUCAAUCUCUCAUUAUGACUUUAACAAAACACCAAAUCCACCAUAAACCUUCUGUUCAACCACACCAUGGCCAUUUAAAUUUUAGAUCCACCCAGUACAAGCAAAAAAACACCAUCAAUGCCGGAGAACGUCAUUUAGGUCCGGGCAUAUCAUCCGACCUUUAUCUCACAAACCACGAUACUUGACGGAGAAACGUCACACAUGGUCACACAACGAAAGGGAAAUACACUAUCAGUGGUGGCAGAGACACAAAAGGUGCUGCACCGAUGCAGAAACUGAUGGGUCAUGGUGGACGGUGGUUUAAUGGAGUUUUUUGUUGAUGGUGUUUUAGUGGAAUUUGUAAACAGCAACCAAUACUCAGAAAAGGAAAAAAGAAUAAAAAAAAUAAAACAAGCUAACUUGGAAAACCGAUUAACAAGUUAAGGUUUAGAAUCAUAUGGAUGACGUGGACCAAUUAGAGAGAGUGUGACCAAUGGAGUGUGUCAAAGCGUUUGACGCUAACAUUGCUCAUUGUUUUUAUGCAUUUACCUGUUGACCGGUUGCACAAGUUGUGACAAAAAGAAAAGAACAUUCUACCAACAAAACAAAAAAAUUAAAGAGAAAGAAAAAACUUCAAUCUUGCUGCACUCCAUGGCUACUCCUUCAUACUCUUUUUGCCGUCGUCGAACAAUCAGUAACAUUUUCGAGACAAGAUUCCAUUCUUAUGACAUUUUAAAUUUGCUUGCAUCUUUAAUUUUCGACAAGUUCCAUUUUUGUUGUAUUGUUUUUUUUCUGAUAUAGUUUUUUAAGAUUAUUCAAUUUACAAAGUGCAUUCUCCUUUGCAAAAAAAUCUUGGUUGAUAUACAGAAGCAUAAACAUUAUUUUGGUAAUUGUGAUUUCAAUUGGAAUUUGCGAAAGAUAUCCCACUCAAUUUUUCCAUGUCUUUAUUUGGGAAAAAAACAACUUAAAAUCUGGAAGUGUUCUUUUUCUGCAUAAGGUUUCAAACAGUAUAUGUAUAUGUCAAUUUGGGUUAGAAAACUUCCAUUAACAGACAAGAAUCUGCAAGAAGGUGAAACGUUGUAACAUGUAUGGUGAAAGGUUGUGCGUGCGGUGAAGAUGAAAAGAUAAAGCCAACAUAAUAAAAAUAAUAUAAAAUAAAUAGUUAAACUCUUAUGUAAAAUGAAACCGGUAGCAGCUUAACAAAUUAAAAACAUGGAUGACAUGUUUAUUUACAAUUGUUACACAAAGAUCAAGCUUGAUCAAUCCAAUGUUCCGCCUAGUGUGUGAAAGGAGUGGAGCUCACAAAGUGUACGGAAAAAAAAAAAACCGAAAGCAUGCGAGAACGGGCUCAAGAAAAUAUGUGUGCUUGUUCAUGAUUAGUGAAUAUCAAAGUAAGCAAACAAAAGAAUGGGGAUUGAACAUUCUUAAUGGAGCUCACAACCAUGCGAUGAAGCCGGCUUUAGAAUGACACAUUCUUGCUGGUAGAUUAAAGGAGGAGGACAAGAAGAUUGUACGCGACUUGACCAAGAGCAAGAUGCUUCCAAGAAAUAUUUUGAUACAUUUGAAGAACAAAAGACCACAUUGCAUGACAAAUGUGAAGCAAGUGUACAUUGAACGUCAACAAAAAUGGAAGGCAAAUAGAGGUGACAAUAAGUCGUUGCAAUAUCUAAUCUCGAAGUUGGAGGAGCACAACUAUACUUAUUAGUCAAGAACACAAAGUGAAAGUACUACAAUCGAAGAUAUCUUUUGGGCUCAUCCAACAUCCUUUAAGUUGUUUAACAAUUUUCCAACGGUUUUGAUUAUGGACUCUACCUACAAAACCAACAUGUAUAAAAUGCCAGUGUUUGAGGUAGUUGGGGUCACUUCGACCGAUUUGACAUAUUUGGUUGAGUUUGAAUAUGUGACACAUGAGAAAGAGGAAAACUUUGUUUGGGUUUUAAAAAUGUUGCGUAAACUUCUUACGUCAAAGAUGAAUAUGCCUAAGGUGAUUGUGACCGACAGUGAUAUGUCUUUGAUGAAAGCGGUUGCAAAUGUUUUCCCCGAAAGUUAUGCAAUGAAUUGUUACUUUCAUGUGCAAGCAAAUGUUAAACAAAUGUGCGUCUUAGAUUGUAGAUAUCCUUUGGGAAAAAAGGAUGGGAAAGAGGUGAAACCUAGCGAUGCUGUGAAGAAGAUAAUGAUGGCAUGGAAAGCUAUGGUUGAAUCGCCCACUCAAGAGUUAUAUGCAAAUGCAUUAGUGGAGUUCCAAGAUUCAUGUAGUGAUUUCCCACUUUUCAAAAAUUAUGCCAUGACCACCUUGAAUGAAGUGAAGGAGAAAAUAGUGAAGGCAUGGACAAACCAUAUGUUGCAUCUUGGUUGCAGGACCACUAACAGGGUCGAAUCGGCUCAUGCUUUAUUGGAUAAAUAUUUGGACAAUAGUGUGGGUGAUUUGGGUACUUGUUGGGAGAAAAUAUAUGACAUGUUGUUGCUUCAGUUCAUUGCGAUACAAACAACAUUUGGUCAGAGCGUUACUGUGUUGGAACAUAAAUUUAAAGAUGUCAUUUUGUACUCCGGCUUAGGUUGUCAUGUGUCUAGAUAUGCUUUGGAAGAGACACGUUGUAGGGAAACAUUGUGCAUGGACAAUGACAUUUAUGGUUGUGUUCAAAGGACAUCUUACGGGCUACCAUGUGCAUGCGAAAUUGCUACUAAACUCCUUGAAAAGAAGCCAAUUUUAUUGGAUGAGAUACACCACCAUUGACAUAGGUUACAUAUGGGCGAAGAAAGUAACGAAGUUGGUUUUUGUGUCAAGGUUGAGUUGAAGGCUAUUGUAGAACGUCUCAAGAAACUCCCUUUUCAAAUGAAGCUUGAAGUCAAAGAGGGUUUGUGGUAGUUGGCAUUUCCUGAAACCACCAUGAUGUCUCCACCACCACGAAAAGUACCAACCAAGGGAGCUAAGAAAAAAGUAGACAUUGUGAGGUUUAAAGGAAAAAUUACAUCGACUAGUCGGAUCUCUUCUUCGUGGGAGGUUGUUGAUUCCCAAAAUCCGGAUAGUCAAUCGUCACCAUCACCAACAACAUCAUCAUAUAAAAGAAUAAAAGAUGCUCGUCUCGGUAAAACAUCACUUAACCCACUUCACCCCCUUCUCGGUAUUCAAAGCCUAAGGCUAUCCCGGUUAUGAGGCCUAUUGAUUAUAUGCCACACUUUAUGCUUCCAUUUAUUGAAAAAGUGGUAGAUGUUAUUGGCGAUGUACAUUGUGGAUUCCGGGCUAUAACCGAGUUCAUGGGCUUGACCGAACAAAAUCAUAUCAUGAUUCGUACACUUCUUAUUCAAGAGUUGAAAGAUCAUAGAGAUGAUUAUGUUGAAGUACUUGCGGGUGAGAAUCGUUUUAACUACAUUUUAAAUGGCUUACAUCCUCCGACAAAUACAAAAAGUUGUGUACAUCUUGUUGGUAAGUGGUUGACUUUUUCUGACAUGGGACACAUUGUUGCUAAUUAUUACAAAAGGUGCGUGGUCGUGUUGACAAAUCUUGAAGUUGGAAACUCGGAAUCUUUUUUCCCACUAAGAGGGCCACCACCGUCGGGUAAGCAAAAUACUCCCAUCAUGUGCCUUGAGGCAAUUCCGAAUCAUUUCGUGCUUAUUUAUUUGAAAAAUGGUUGUCCACUACCUCCAUCAUCUAUGGAGUGGCACAAUCACAAGAAAGAAGAUGCGGUGACUUGGGAAGAUGAGUAUUUGGAUCAACAUGAGUUGUUCCGGAAGCUCAUGGCUUUUGAAAGUGGAAACAAACCGCCGAAACCACAAAAGGAGUCAAACAAAGUGGUGUCUAUUUUGCUUGACACUCCCGAAAAAUCAAAGCAACAAUUUGAAGUUAUUGCGGAAGAUGAGGAAGAUUCUAAUUCACUUGAUCUUUCUUAAUCACUUGGUCUUUAAUGAGUGAUUUUUUUGUCGGUGUUAGUCUUUUUUUUGGUAGAAAUUACACAAACGUAUAUUUUGGGGUCGAAAUUGUAACGCCAAUUUUUCGUGGCCAAUAUAUAAUUAACAUUAUGUCAUUUAUAUUGAUAUAUAUGAUAAUAUGACUUUUAUGUGGUGAAACUAGUGCCAUACUUAUUUAUUCGUCAUUAAUGUCUACGCAAUUGAUUUAUUCGUUAUUACAUUUCAUUUAAUUUUGUUCUAAUCUAUGAUUCUUUUCUUAAAGAUUUUGUCAAGUGAAACAUGUAUGAGGUUGCAAAAAUUGAAGGUCGUGUUAGGUACUCCGCUUUUAAAAAGACAAUUAAGGUUAUCAUAACGCCAACAGACUCUUUUGAUGAUUUGAAGGCACAACUUAACACUUAUUUUGAGCAUCUUGGUGAAAAUCAAUAUACACGUCACUUGUUUGGUCAAAUGUCAUGCAUAGACCUAGGAGAAGAUAGAGAUGAAUACACAUGGAACACGACAAGCUAUAUGCCUUGGCUUAUUAAAGACGAUAGCGACGUCGAAUUUAUGUUUCGGAAUAUGGUGGAAAAUAAUAUAUUAUAUAUGUAUGUUCGUUCCAUAUGCAAUUGUGAUGAAUGUAAGUAGGGAUUUAAUAUAAUGAUGUGUAAUGAGUUGUUUAAUUAUGGACACUUUGUAACUUUUUGAUGAAUUUCAAACUUUUAUGUAAUUUGAACCAAAUGUCGGUUUGAUUUAAUUAUGGACAAUUGUAAAAUAUAUUGUAUUUUUCUUGUUUAUGACCGAGUUUCAAUGUUGUAUGAUUUAUAUUGCCUUUGGAAAUGCUUUGGUUUAAUUACAGGUAAAAAUUGGCCGAAAAAUGGCUUGAGAAUGCUUUAGAAUUAUGCAGAACCCACUGUGUGCAUAAUUGUUUUCCUCAGCAGUUAACUGCAGCCGAUUUCGAAUUACUCGGCAUUUAACUGCCGAGGGGGCAAAAGCGUAUUUUACUCGUGUGACACAGCUUUAUGCAAUGUGUCAACAUCAAUUUUCCCAUGUUUUUCUUAAUGAGAAAUGAUAUUUGUACAACUUUUGUAUAAUCUUCUCUUAUAAUCACAUUAUCUUCUUAUUCUCUCUAUUGUUUUUGACCAAUAAAAAGAGAGCACAACAAUAUUAUCCCAAAAAUUAUAGCAAAAUAGUUGUUCAAAUAUCACUACUGUUUAUUAAGAGUCUACCCUCAUACUAUUACACAUGAUUAUUGUUAUUUAAUUCUUCUUGUGUCUACACACCGAAACUCAUACAAAAUCUAAAAAUCAAAAUAGGUUUGAUCCACUUUUCAAUUCCCACGGAUAAAGAAUUACUAAGAAAGCGCGGCGGUAUAGAGGGCUUCACAAUCCUUUCUCUCACCGGCACCGCCUUUAAUUCAUUCAUAUAUACCACCGAUUUUCCCCUAAUUUUUUUUGUUUGUUGCUUUGUUCAAUGGCUACCGCUGAAAUUCCACAAGAUGGAUUGAAGAAACUGGAGUAUCUUUCACUUGUAUCUAAGGUAUGCACUGAGUUAGAAUCUCACACCGGCACCGGCGAUAAGGUUCUCGCCGAGUUCAUCACCGAGUUAGGUCAUUCUUCUAACUCGGUUGAGGAAUUCGACGCUAUACUCAAAGAAAACGGUGCUGAGAUGCCGGAUUACUUUGUUCGAACUCUUCUCACCAUUAUCCACGCUAUUCUUCCUCCUAAUCCUAAAAAAGAGAAAGAGAAUCAGAACGUGAAGAGUUCCACCUCCAAUACUAAGUUCAAGGCUUUGGCAAUUUCAGAUGAUAGGGAUCGUGCUAAGGAGCUUCGAGAAGAGAUCGAAAUCGAAGCUAGAGAGAAACAAAAACAAAUGGAACCACCAAUGGACAGGUAUGAAGAUGAUGGUGGUUACAGAGAUAGAGAUAGGGAUAGAAGAGAUAGACGCAGAGAUAGGUAUGAAGAAGAUGAUAGAAGAGAUCAUAGAAGAGGAAAUGAUAGAGACAGAGAUAGACGCGAUAAAAGGGGGGAUGAUAGAGGCAGAGAUAGGGAUCGAUAUGAGAGGCGGAGGAGAGAUGAAUAUGAAGAUGGAAGGGAGGAGACUGAUGGUAAUCAGAAAGGGAGGAGAGAAAGAGAUUCGAAGCGUGGUGGUGGUGGUUCAGGUGAGCCCGAGUUGUAUAUGGUUUAUAAAGGAAGAAUUUCUAGGGUGAUGGAUACUGGGUGUUUUGUUCAGCUGGAUGAUUUUAGAGGAAAGGAGGGUUUGGUUCAUGUUUCUCAGAUGGCUACUAGGAAGAUUGUUAAUGCUAAAGAGGUUGUUAAAAGGGAUCAACAGGUUUAUGUGAAGGUGAUUUCUGUUUCUGGUUCCAAGUUGAGUCUUUCCAUGAGGGAUGUUGAUCAACAUACUGGGAAGGAUCUUCUUCCGUUGAAGAAGAGCUCGGAGGAGGAGGAUUCAUUUCGGACGAAUCCGCAGGACUCGAAGGAUGGACCAGUGGUUAGGACAGGGCUUUCUGGGAUCAGGAUUGUAGAGGAGGAUGACACUGUUUCUUCGCGCAGGCCGUUGAAGAGAAUGAGUUCUCCCGAGAGAUGGGAAGCACAACAAUUGAUUGCUUCGGGGGUUUUGAGUGUUUCGGAGUAUCCGACUUAUGAUGAUGAGGAAGAUGGAGUGAUGUACCAAGAAGAAGGUGCUGAGGAAGAGCUUGAGAUUGAGAUGAAUGAGGAUGAACCCGCCUUCUUGCAAGGGCAGAGCAGAUACUCAAUGGAUAUGUCUCCUGUUAAGAUCUUCAAGAAUCCAGAAGGUUCUCUGGGUCGUGCUGCUGCGCUCCAGUCUGCACUUAUAAAGGAGCGAAGAGAAGUAAGAGAACAGCAGCAGCGUACCAUGCUUGAUUCAAUUCCAAAGGAUCUCAAUCGUCCUUGGGAAGACCCUAUGCCAGAGUCAGGUGAAAGGCAUCUUGCCCAGGAGUUGAGGGGUGUUGGCUUAUCGGCCUAUGAUAUGCCAGAAUGGAAGAAAGAGGCCUAUGGGAAAACCAUUACUUUUGGGCAAAGGUCAAAGCUUUCUCUUCAGGAACAGAGGCAGAGUUUGCCAAUUUACAAGCUAAAAAAAAGAAUUGGUUCAGGCUGUCCAUGAUAAUCAGGUAUUGGUUGUGAUUGGUGAAACCGGUUCGGGUAAGACUACUCAGGUCACACAGUAUCUUGCUGAAGUGGGUUACACCACCAGAGGUAAAAUUGGAUGUACUCAACCCCGUAGGGUGGCUGCAAUGUCAGUUGCAAAGAGAGUUGCAGAAGAGUUUGGGUGUAGAUUAGGAGAGGAAGUUGGUUAUGCCAUUCGGUUUGAGGAUUGCACUGGACCUGAUACCGUAAUCAAGUACAUGACUGAUGGUAUGCUUCUUAGGGAAAUAUUGGUUGAUGAGAGUCUGUCACAGUAUUCUGUUAUAAUGCUUGAUGAAGCCCAUGAGAGAACAAUUUAUACGGAUGUUCUUUUCGGACUGCUGAAGCAGCUGGUGAAGCGUAGACCUGAGUUGCGAUUGAUUGUCACAUCUGCUACUCUUGAUGCUGAAAAAUUUUCAGGAUAUUUCUUUAACUGUAACAUCUUCACCAUUCCUGGGAGAACUUUUCCUGUGGAGAUACUUUAUGCUAAACAGCCAGAAAGCGAUUACUUGGAUGCAUCUUUGAUCACUGUCCUACAGAUCCACUUGACAGAACCUGAAGGAGACAUUCUUCUCUUCUUAACUGGUCAAGAGGAGAUUGAUUUUGCUUGCCAGUCUCUCCAUGAGAGAAUGAAGGGAUUAGGUAAGAAUGUCCCUGAGCUGAUCAUUUUACCUGUUUAUAGUGCCCUUCCUAGUGAAAUGCAAUCUAGGAUAUUUGAUCCUGCUCCUCCUGGGAAAAGGAAAGUGGUUGUGGCUACAAACAUUGCUGAGGCUUCUUUGACAAUCGAUGGGAUAUUUUAUGUUAUUGAUCCGGGGUUUGCUAAGCAAAAUGUUUAUAACCCAAAGCAAGGUCUUGAUUCCUUGGUGAUUACUCCGAUAUCACAAGCGUCUGCCAAACAAAGAGCUGGGCGUGCAGGGCGUACUGGACCUGGAAAGUGUUAUCGUCUCUAUACUGAGAGUGCAUAUAGGAAUGAGAUGUCCCCUACUGCAAUUCCAGAGAUUCAGAGGAUAAAUCUGGGCAUGACUACUCUUAGCAUGAAAGCUAUGGGCAUAAAUGAUCUUCUGUCAUUUGAUUUUUUGGAUCCACCAUCACCCCAAGCACUUAUUUCCGCCAUGGAGCAGCUUUACAGUCUUGGAGCAUUGGAUGACGAGGGUCUUCUAACCAAAUUGGGUAGGAAAAUGGCUGAAUUUCCGAUGGAUCCGCCACUGUCCAAGAUGCUGCUUGCCAGUGUAGACCUUGGAUGCAGUGAUGAGAUUUUGACCAUAAUUGCCAUGAUCCAGACUGGCAAUAUUUUUUACAGGCCCAGGGAGAAACAAGCCCAAGCAGAUCAGAAGAAGGCUAGGUUUUUCCAGGCAGAGGGUGACCAUCUUACACUACUUGCUGUUUAUGAAUCCUGGAAAAGUAAAAACUUUUCUGGACCCUGGUGUUUUGAGAACUUUGUUCAAUCUCGAUCGUUGAGAAGAGCCCAGGAUGUUAGGAAACAACUUCUCUCCAUCAUGGAUAAGUAAGAUAUCUAUCUAUCAAUUUAUAUAUCUUCUGAAAAUUUGCUUGCUUUUGUUUCUUUGUUUUGUACUCUUCAUUUGUUUUUUAGUUCAAUACAUUAAUGGGAAACCUUGUCCAACAUAACUCCAGAGUAUGGAAAAUACGUGGCAAGGGGGAAUGGAUCCUCUCAAUAGGAAAAUCUCACGUCUCUAAUGUGUAUUCAAUCUCACCAUUGAAUGGAAAAAGGUGAGAUGGGUUAUUAAUAUAAAAAUUGAGUAAAAAAACUUAAUGGUGAGAUUGAAUGCACAUGAGAGAAAAUAAAUUGAGAGAAUACAUUCCCGUGUGAAGGAGUUAUAGUCCUAGGUAAUUUUUAUAACAUGAUGAUAAAAAAAACAUGUGAAAUUUGCCUCUUGAAAGGAAAAGCUUAUGAUGGUAAAGGUGAUGUGCCACCACCUCAGUACUAUACUUUGGUGGAAUGGAUUGUGUGAAAAUGUAUAAAAUAAAUAUUAGAGUUCUACUACCUAUGAUAUGUGGCCAUGAUAAUUUUUUUAGAUUGUCAAUCGUUUCAAGUUGUGCCCAGCCUCAACCUGAAACUGAAAGACAGAGAAUGUUGGUCCUUUUUUCCCGGGCUGAGGGGCUAUUCAGGAAUAAGUUAUAACAUAUUUAUGCAUUUAUCUUUUCUGUUAGAGUAGCUAGUCUGAAGAGCACAUGUCUCCCCUUGUGUUUUUUUAGGUCUCUAAAGUUUAGGUGUAGUUGGAACCUUUAGAAUUACGGCCUCACUGCAUACAUGCAUUAUAACAGAUUAAGUUCUCUACAUAAUUUAGAAUACAAUUACAGAUUCAUUUCUAGGUUAUCGAAUUUAUCUCAAAUGUUAUAUCAUAAUUUUCCCGUGCUCGCUCCCUUUCUUUUGGUUUUUAUUUGAUCAUUAAAUUUAGCACACACUGUGAGUCUUAAUCCCGAAGUAUCGUAAUGCAUGUUUCAAAAUUUGUUGUAAUAAGUUAAUUGAAACAUGGUCAAAAUUACAACUAACAAGGGCGUCUUAUUCACAUGCUGAUAUGAUACACUUGUUUGUAACUCUAGUUUCUCAAGGGGACCUUAUCAUACAUGCUGAUAUGUUUCACACAAUCCAUUCCACCAAGGGGACCUUAUCAUAUAUGCUGAUAUGUGCCACCACCUCAUAUCAGCAUCUGAUAAACUCAAAUAAGCUCCUCCAAGGGGACCUUAUCAUAUAUGCUGAUAUGAUACACUUCUUUGUAACUCUAGUUUCUGUGUCUAAAUAAUAUGAGAGUAACAGAUUUGUGCCUGUACAUGUACAAUACUAGGUGUAGUGCAAGAGAUACUAAGGUGAUUAGUCAAUCAACUAUGCAUUUUUUGUCUAGUUCAGUAGUAUACAAAAUAUAUUGAAAAUAGUGCUUUGUCUUCUGUAAUAACAACCAGCAUAUCACUCGACAUCAAUAUCAAUAUAAUUUUAUUAUUUUGAUUAUCCCUUUUCCUCUCGCAGUCCCUGAAUAGACUAAAACCUAACUUCAACGGUAAUUAUACCUAGAGUUUUAUGCUCAGCUAUACCAGCUCCAACACUGAAAUAGAGAGUGUGUGUUCGUACCGAGGGAAUUGAAAAAUUUGAGAGAUAGUCGUACGGUCACAGACUCCCACCAGUUUUGAUCUACUGGAGGAGAGAACCCAGUAUUGUUUCAUGGUUGUGGACCCAACCUGUUUUGUGCAAUUUAACCCACAUGUUUUCACCCUUGCGUGCCCGCCCCAAACUAGCCGUUUCUGCUGUCCAACUAGAAUAAAAAAAAUCAGUGCGACAAUAAGUUGCACCCUGCACGUAUCCAUGCCGUACGUGGUAUGUACUCGCAGUCUCGCACUCUGCCAUUUUUUGUGUACUUGUGUUCGGUGCUUCAGAGAUUAUAAGUAGCCUUGUAUUUGCACAGCAUUUACAACAUUCUAAUUUUAUAACUCGAGCCCAUGAUCUUUUUGUCACAGCAAUGACUUCAGCCCUAUGUCAAGACUCCACUUCAGUUCUAUAUAUUUUAGUUUGCACAAUCUUUUUUAGACUCUCGACGAUUUUACUGAUGCCCUAGAUUUUUAAUGGGGAUCCUCUAAAGUGAGUUAAGUGUAACGUGAGAAAAUCAAAGGUUGUUAUUGUAUCAAACUCAUGAUUUGUUAUGAUGUAUCUGCAAUAUCUACUUUAAUUUGUUAAUUAACGGUUGAUAUUGUCCACUUUACACUCUAAAGUGAGUUCCAAUGUGAGUUGCUCACUUUAGAGGAGCCGGAUCCAUUUUAAAUAUUUUAUUCUCUCUCUCUCUCUCUAUAUAUAUAUAUAUAUAUAUAUAUAUAUAUAUAUAUAUAUAUAAUGAAAGGGAAAUGUUAACUUGUGCCCUAAUGUUAAGGAUUCCACUAAUAGAAAUUAUGUCUCGGAAAUUGCGUUAAUUUAUUGCUCAAAAAAUCUAAUAUUAAUUUUUUUCAAUUAAUACUUACCAUUAGUGGCAAGAAUUUAAUGCUUAACAUGUGCCCUACAAGUUAGCAUGACCCAUAAUGAAAUGGGAUAUUUCUUCUCCAUUAUAUAAGGGAUACCCAAGUAUUUUUUACUCUGGGCUUCUCAUUGCAAUUAUUGUAACCAACAUUUUGCUGUGAUUGUGUGGUUUAUAGUUAUUAUGAUGACAUUAGUCAUGUAAAGUAUCAUUUAUAUUAAAUUGUACUCUAAAUCAUCAACAUUGAUAUUCAGGUACAAAUUGGAUAUCGUGAGUGCUGGAAAAAACUUCUCCAAGAUCAGGAAGGCUAUCACUGCAGGGUUCUUUUUUCAUGCAGCUAGAAAGGACCCCCAGGAAGGUUACAGAACCCUUGUUGAGAAUCAGCCUGUAUAUAUUCAUCCAAGUUCGGCUUUGUUCCAGAGGCAGCCAGACUGGGUCAUAUACCACGAGCUUGUAAUGACAACUAAGGAAUAUAUGCGCGAGGUAACAGUCAUAGACCCCAAAUGGCUUGUUGAAUUGGCUCCAAGAUUCUUCAAAGUGGCAGAUCCUACAAAGAUGAGUAAACGGAAGCGUCAAGAACGUGUUGAACCACUCUAUGAUAGAUACCACGAGCCAAAUUCAUGGCGUUUGAGUAAACGUCGUGCUUGAUAUGCUUUCUCAGUUUCUCUUAAUGCAAGGUCCUGGAUACAUUUUAUGUUGAAUUUAGUUUUAAAUGUAAGUUUUCUCCUAUUAUUAUUAGUUAACUUCAAUGAAAUUUUGUACAUAUUUUUGCUGGUGUUGCUUAUAAAACUUAAAUUAUGAUACAUAGAGUUGAAUCAUAAUGACUGUUCUGCUGGAGAUCAGGAUCGUUUUAGCAGUUAAACCUUCUUUUCUAGAUUUUACCAAUUAUAGUACCAGCAGUGGUUAACAAGUUUUCUACAUUUUGCCAAUUCUGACUCAAAUAAUGAUAUGCAUUUUGUUUUCUAUGUUUUUUUGAGGACUUAUUUUCUCUCCCCUUAAAGUUAAAGCCAUACCAGCUGCAUGUUUCUUUGGCUUUCUUCCUUUAAUAUUGUCUCCCCUUAAAGUUAAAGCCAUACCAGAUGCAUAAUUGCUUAGAUUUAGCAAAGACAUAUUCUAAUAUUACUUUCUGCUGUCAACUUUCUUUAUGCUUACUAGUGUGUUUUGUGACUGAUGAUGGGGAUUACAUGAUUUUCAAAGUUAGUUAGUUAAAAGAUCUUCAUUAAUCUUCUGAUUUUAUUGAUGAUCUUACUUUUCUAACCGUAAGAUGUUGGCAGCACAGAGGCUAGUCCAAGUAACUCUCUAGUACCUUUGUAUCCGUUGGAUUAUUCAUUGCCAUCUCUUGAUGAGGUUUGUUAUGACUUAUGAUUAUCUGUUCUCGAAUUUUCUGGUCAAUCUUUGUGCAUUCAAAACGCUAACCAGUCCUUGUUGAACUUAUACAACAUACUGCCUAAACGUGAACUGCUCUGACUUGUGAAAUACUCACAAAUAUAUGCACUAGCCUUUCUAUUCUGGGCCGGGUGAAGAUGCCAUUAAAGAAGUGCCUGGCGAAAUUUGAUGCUUCAGAAAAUAACACAGAAGAAAGUUGUUCUGAAAAAAGUAUGGUUUUAUUUUCUUCAAUGAAGUUUAUGGCAAUGAUUCUUGUUUCACUGCUCAUAUUUUCAGUGCUUUAAAAUGAAAUGUGCGACCUUAAAUAUCAAUAUAUUUGUAAUAGUGGGAGUGAUUUAUUAGUCUGUGUGUUGAGCAUGAGCUCGAUUUCAUUUUGCAAUAUGCUACUGUCAUUGUCCUUGAUUUUUCAAUUGAUCAUGUUCAGAAUUGAGUCUUUUUUUAUAUUAUCCUUACAUCUUUUUACUAUUUGAUUUGCUUUAGUUAAUUUAUUUAGUGAUGGUCUGUUACAGUGUAUAUAUGGGUUCUGUGAAUUCUUAGUCAAACAAGGCACUUAUACAUUAUCUAUGUUGCAUCUUUGCUAUGGAAAAUGAAGCGAUGGUUAAUGAUAACCCUUUAAAAAGAAGUCUUGGGGGAUAAAAUCUACUCCAAUGGUUGUUGUUAAUUGUGAAAUGGUUUUUUGUGAAAGAUGGAACUGAAGCUUUAGUCAAAGUCUGUGUUGUAGAUCACAAUUUAAAGGAAUAAUUUAUGUUGGUUCUUCCUUGUACUUUGUGACUCUCAUUAGUCUCCAAGUGCCCAAUGAUUGAGCUUUCUAUAUAAUUGCAUAAAAUGACUUAUUUUUGGGGUGAAUCACAAUUUCAGAACUUUUCAGGUCAAACUACACAACAAUCAUGUACUAGGAAUGGGCAAACUCAGGUCAACCAACCCGAUGCAAUCGGGUCCAACCGGUUCGGGUUAAUACGGGUCACGGGUUGUAUGUGUGCACUUUUCAGGUUAUGAUGGGUUUAUUCGGUUCGGUUCGGGUGGACAGUUUGAACCCUUAUGUACCCUAACCCGAACCGAAUCAUUAUUACUAUUAAUUUUAUUUAUUUAUUUAUUAUUAAUUGUUUGUGUGAAGCUCUGUUCUUCUCUCCCUCACAUGAUGAGUUGGCUUUUUAUUUUAUUUUUCCACCUACAUUUUUUUUAUUAAUUAACAAUUACAUUAAAAAAAAAAUUAAAAACACCAUAUCUUCAUCUUCUUCCUCACUAUCUCAUUCUUCUAUCAUCAUUUUUCCAGAUUUUUUUUUUCUUACUCUCUUACUCCACCUCCCUUCAAUCUCUUUGCUUCCAUGAGACUUAAACUCCAAAUCAAUUAAACACACAACAACAACACAACAAAGUCAGCAUAACAAAACACAAUACAACAUCUUUUUCCGAUAAAAAAAAAACUCACAACAAAUCCUCCUUUCUCUCAAAUCAAAGCAGCAGCAACAACCCACAUUAAACACAACAACAACAAUGCGAGCAUCAAACCCAGAAAAUAAAUCAGCUUGAAUCCAACCUUCUUCUGUUCGAAUUCUGUUCCAAUCAGCUUGAAUCAAUCCCAAAAAGAGAAGGUGGGAGAUAACAGAAGGAAGAACAUAAACAUAGAAGAGAAAGGUGGGACAGAAGAGAAGAAAAAAGAAAAAGAAAGGAAGAAAGAGAGAGAGAAGAGAGUGAUACGGUGGAGAGAAGAAAGAAGAGAAUGAUUGUUUUUUUUUUUUUUUAAUUAAAAGAAAUUUAAAUGGAAUAACCAAAAAUAGAAAAGAACUUUUGUAAAAAAAAAUUAGAAGGAAGAAUAAAUAAGGAUGAGAUCUGGAGAAGAGAAUGAAGAACAAUGGGGAAAAAGAGAGAAGAUGAUACCCGCUGAAGAAGAAGAGAAAGGAAAAUAAUCGAGUUUUUUAAUUUAUCAUUAAGGGUAUUUUAGGUAUUUCACAUUUUUAACAUACUUUUAAAAAUAAAAAAUAUGAUGUGUCAUUGCCACUUCACUCAUCACUACACAGUCAGCGUGCCACAUCAAUUCAUUAAUCCAGUCAGAUGGCAUCAGGGUUGAAAAUCAAAGAAUCUUCAUUUUACAAGGGGGAUUCUCCAAUUUUUUUUUUGUUAGGGGGGUAUACCAAAAGACCCCCAAAUAGCAGGGGGUAAAAGUCUAUUAACCCUAUUUUUAUUUUAUUUUUCAAGUUAGUUCACUAUAGUUUUUUCAAGUUAGUUUAGUGGAGUUGUUCUCACUCAUUAUUGAUUUUUAAGUUAGUCCUUUCUAUUCUUAACAUCAACGCGAACGUUUGAGAUCAACUUAAAACUAUUAAAAUAUAAACGAUCAACUUCAAAAUUGCCCUUUUAUAUAAAUUUUCUUAAAACCUAAUUUUAUUCAUUGUCAGUGAGUUUCACCCUCUUUCACCCCAUAAAGCGAUCGAUCAAACAAUUUGAUGUUCAAUAUCAAUCUCCAUGAAAAUUAAAGAGUGAAUCAAAAUAUUUUUCAUCCAUACUCAAUUGGAUAUAAGUAAGUGAAUUUCUUCUUCUAUUUGCUAGUUUCAAUUUUUUUCCUUCAACUGCACUGAUGCACUGUACGAUUACGGUUUUAAUUUACAUUGGCAAGAUUAACUUAAAUUCAGUUUAAGUAGGUUCAUGUAAACUAAGUUUACAUGAACCUACUUAAAUUGAGUUAACAUGAACCUACUUAAACUGAGUUUACAUGAACCUACUUAAACUGAGUUUACAUGAACAUACUUAAACUGAGUUUACAUGAACCUACUUAAACUGAGUUUACAAAAUCGCAGAACUGUGAAUCGCAGAACAAGGAAAACACAAAAUCAGAACUGAGAACCCAUAACAAGAAAAACACAAUCGAUUGAAGAACAACACUUGUUAACCUGAUUUGCUUCGAAUUUUCUUUGAAAUCAUGAAUGGACGUGAGAAAGUAUGGUUUUGAAAAUCUUCGCAGAACACAAUCGAUCGGUUGGAGAAUUAUGGUUUUGGAAGAAGAGUUUUGGGGUGUAACCAAAAAAGAAGGAAUAGGCUUUUUGUAAAUCAAAUUUUAUGAAAGGAUAAUCUUGUCAUUUUAGAAUGCAACUAUGAUUAACUAGGGUGCAAGUAGAAAAACUCUUAGUUUAAUAUUUAAAAAGAUUUUAUUUUGGUGAGGUAUUUAUUAAUAAAACUAAAUGGUAAAAGAAAAGACCAUAUAAAUGUAUAUAAAAAGUGAAUUUUACUUAUAUCAACCACGGAUGGUGUAUUGAGUAGUUUGUUGUAAUUGUAAUCAAAUUGGAGGUGGACGAGGGUUUAGAGAGCGAACGGCGAGAAUCGAGAAAGUUCAAAAAUGGCUUCGUCGAAGAGUGGUAGCGGAGCGAUGACUCUAGAGAGGAUGAGCGUUGAACAGUUGAAAGCAGUUAAGGAACAAGCAGAUAUGGAAGUUAACCUUCUUCAAGACAGUCUCAACAAUAUCGGCACCGCAACCACUCGUCUUGAACUCGCUACCACCGCUCUCAACGAUCUCUCUCUCCGUUCCCUCGGUAGUAAAAUCCUUGUUCCUCUCACCGCUUCCCUCUACGUUCCUGCUACUCUUCAAGAUCCUCAUCACGUUCUCGUCGAUAUCGGAACUGGUUAUUUCGUCGAGGUGAGCUCUUUCCCCGAUUAAUUAAUUUAGAUCUGUAAUAUAUAUUCGUCUUUUUAGGUUUAAGGAAUAUUAAUCUUGAUUUGAAUGUUGUGUUGAUGCUGAAAACAGAAAACCAUGCCUGAAGGAAAGGAUUACUGCGAGCGCAAAAUCAAUUUACUCAAAUCUAACUUUGAUCAACUUGUUGAGGUAAUUAAUUUUGUUAUUAAGUACUCCUAUUUGAUCUUGAUAUAUGUAUUUAUACAAAAUGCGGUUAUUUUGUUGUGGAGAGUGAUCAUUCAAAUAACAUUUGUUUUAGUUUGAACCCUAAUUUGAUAUUUUGUCAGGAAACGAGCUUAAUCAUUUUGGCUAAACUAUAAUGAAAUCUUGUUCAAGAAAAGUUCAUGAUGUAAUUACAAAUGCAGGUUGCGUCCAAAAAGAAAAAUGUCGCGGAUGAAGCUGGGGUUAUUUUACAGGCAAAAUUGAAGCAAUUAGCAUCGUCAUCCUAAAGUUAGCUGGUUUAGAAUUCAAUUACUUUUUAACAACGCGUUGUAUGUGUACCAUAGAAAAUCAUAACAGUGGUGUUAGAGUUGGUUAUGAUAUAUGUUGUUGAAACCUUUUAUUGAAAGAAUUCCCUUUUUUGUUGUGAUGGUUCAGAACAUUAGUUUGAAACUAUUGGAACUGUAUUUAGAAAAUCUAGUUGACCAAUGGCAUUCAAGAUUUAAAAGGUUACUGUGGAAAUAAGCAUUGGUCUUUCAAUCACACAAGUCAUUAAUCAGAGCAAGCAGGCUGUUGAGCACUCCAUGCUCUUUAUCAGGAGGGAUGGCACCACCAAUUUUACUCACCAUUUUCUUUCUUUUACUAUGCUCGAAAUGCUCUUUAUUGGCUUUUACCAUAUAACGUUGUAGGCAUGUUGUCAUUUCCUCAUUUGAUGUUAGGCUCUCGGUAGAAGACAAUGGUGUCCUGAUAUGUAAUUACCCCUCUCCUUUCUCUAUCCAUUAGAAUAGUGCAAGAGGGUAUGAGUGUGUCCAAGAGGGCUAUGAUAUAAGGGAUGCAUGCCUAGGGUUUAAAUGUCUUGGAUUUUGUUAUAACUGUUUAUUUUAAUUUUACUAGUUAUUCUUGAAAAGGAGAGAGGAGCAUCUUAGAAUACACGAUAACAGGGUGACAUGCUCCUAAAUUGUGUUUUUGUGAUACGAAAACUGCAUAAAAAACUUGGCAAUUAUUAUGGAAGUUGUGCCAAUAGAGAAAUUUGAUUACAAAUGUGAGUUUGAGAAAAAUGUAUAUGGAUUAUUUAAAACCAUGUUUAGGAAUUGUACUAUAAAAUGAUGACUGUUGAAGGUUGAAUAGAGAAGUCUCUUUGAGGGGUUUUAAGGUCGGGUGUUAAGAGAUGCCAUGUAAAAUGCAAUGGCUAAGGGAUCACGGGCAGAAUGAGGCAUAUAGCCAAAGAUAUAGAUUAUUGGUGGUAGGAUGGUAGUGUUAAAUAUAUAAUGUUACGAACGAAAGAGUGUUAUUUUACAUGUUUCAUGUGUAAAAUAAGGAAAAUGGAAAUAAAUAUUAUGUGAUGUAGAACGAUACAGAUAACAAGUGGACAUAUCUUUCUACAUGCUGGCUAAAAGUACAGAGCGAAAAACAACAUAUUUGAAUCAAGUAAAGUACAUUACGCAUUAGGUAUUAGGAUUGUGGAGAAAAAUCAUUGAGCAAGAUAUCAAUGAUAUAUGGCAGAAUUAGUUUCGUAAUAUUGCAAUGCAAGUAAUGGGCAUUGCAUGAUACCAGACAAACUUAACGUCAAGAACAUCAGGCAUGAUUCACUGUGUUUUUGGUUAAACCAUAGAUCCGUGUUUUUUUAAUUUCCAACCAUGGAAAGCAGGUCACAAGAUAAUCCUUUUUUCAUGUAUAAAUGAGACGUGCUUGAGCACUUUCUGGCUAUUCCCUUUCCGACUCCUUAACUGUUGCCAAAGAAAUAAAAGCCACAUACAAUAUUUUCACGCCUCCUUGAUAACUAUGAAAUGCGCAGUAGUUCACAGUAGUUUUUUUCCUCCAGGAAUGAUAAAUGAACACAAAAAACCAAACACAAUACAGACGCCAUAUGUCACUCUAGUUUUAUACAUCUUUUUCAUUAUUUUUUUUUAAAUUUUCUCACCAUCUCUCUCGGCCAUCCUUCUCUAUGUUCAACGCCGGUUCUCCAGCCACCGCCGCCGUUGUAACUUCUCUCACUAAUCACCGCCGUCGUCACUGCUGCCGUCUUUUCUUCUUUCAGUCCUGUAAACGUGUUAUGAUCGGAUCUGCGGUGGCGAGGACGGAUCCAAGCUCAGUUCUCGUCGGAGUUUUGAACAGAUCUAUUUUCUCAGUGAUGAUUUGAUGUUGGUGAGGACGGUAGUGAUCCGAACAGAUUCCGGCGGUGUGAGGGAGAAGAAGGGGUCGUCGGUGAUGUGAAGUCUUGCUGGUUUGAGAGAGAGAAAACGUGAAGAAAAAGGGAGAAGGAAGAAGGAAUGGGAUAGGAUGAGCUUUUACAAAAUUACCCUCUGCUUAAAUGUUGAAAUGUUAAAAUUACUCAUGGUGCUGCAUUUGUGUCUGAUAAUUUGUGUUUGGUUAUCAUUCCUGUUUUUCCUUUCUGCUUCACAAACACUCCAGUUUUAACUGUAGCAAUUUAGUAGUGUACAUCUUUUUCGCACUGCCCUGCAUGAUGAUUAUUUUCAUGCGUUAUUGUGGUGAUAACUUAUAAAGGUUUCAUAUGCGAUGACUGAACUACAUCAAUCGUUCAGGUGUUAUUGUAAAUAAAUAAUAUAUUAACAAACUCUUCAUAUUUACCAGUGUGUUUUCACCAUGACAAUAGACAAUUCCUUCACUGUGAACUUUAAUUUUGGUCAACCAAUGAAAGAAAACGUGAAUUAUAAGGCGUUUGUAUUUUACUACAAGUAUAGUAUUUUUCAAACGAUAACUUCAUGUAGCCGAGUAGCAAUGAUAACAAUGACUAGUAUAUUGUACCAAAAAAAAAAAAACAAAUGACUAGUGUGUGUAUAUAUAUAUAUAUAUAUUUGGGUUAAAUAUGUUUUUGAUCCUUAUAAAUAUACCAACUUUUCAUUUUAGUCCCUCUAAAAUUUUCAUUCAACUUUCAGUCCCUAAAAUUUUUUUCAUCUUCACUUUUGGUCCCUCUCUUAAAGUAAACUCAUAUAUAGAAUACAUAUUUUUGAAUAAAAUUGUGCAGAAAAAUGCAUAAUAUUAUAAGAAACUCUCCCCAAAAAAAUUAGAAUUUUUAACAAAAUAUGAAUUUAAUAUGAAUUUUUAUAUGUUUGACGGUUAAAAAUUCAUAAUUAAUUUAUGUUUUGUUAAAAAUUUUAAUUUUUGGGGUAAUAUUUUUACAACAUUCUACACAUUUCUGCACAAUUUCAUUAAAAAAUACAAAAAUUAACUUAAAAAUAGGGACCAAAAGUAGUGAUUGAAAAUUUUAUAAGGACUAAAAGUUGAAGGAAAAUUUUAAAAGGACUAAAACGAAAAGUUGAUAUAUUUAUAGAGACCAAAAACAUAUUUAACCCUAUAUAUUUUACAGAAUACCAUGGUUAUAUUAAAAACUCCGAAAUUGCACAAUUUAAUUGUAGAAAUUGACUUCUAUUUAUGGUAGAAAAUGUUUAAAACAAACAUAAUCACACGCACAUAGAAAACAUAUUCACGCAUAAACUUAGUUAUGGGAUAUCUAUUGUUACAAUGCAAUUCGUAUCUAAGAAAUUCAAUAGUUUUGGUUUCCCUUCAGUAACUAAUCAAUAACUAUCCUUGUUUUCUCCUUUUCUUUUUGCGGGUUCUGCUAACGAGUAUUCUAAGGGCACUCUUUAAGGUUUCCCAAUUAAGAAAUUAUUCUUUGAAAAAGUUUAACACUUUAAUUUCCGGUGCAUUGAAUGUACAAUUUUCCAUAAAUUUAUUAUUUAGAGUUCUUAAAAAGUGCCUUAGAACACUCGUUAACAUUUUCCUUUAUUUAUUCUUAAAAAUAAACAAACAACAUAAGUGACCUUAUAAAAACAUAACUACCCAUAACUCCCAAUUAAGUUAUGCCCUCUUCUCUUAGAUUGUUCUCUAAUAAUAAGACUAACAAUACUCUGCCUAAAAGAAUCAUUGCCUUCAAGGUGAAAUUAAGAAAAUUGUUUCAUGAUAGUUACAACCAAUUCCCAAGUGGUUUCACAAACCACUUUUUCCCUCUAUUAUCCAUCAAGUUUCGUGGAUUAGCAUAACCUCAGACACCAUCUUCAUUUUACCGCGUCUUCAUUCACCAAAAUUGUCAUUUUGAAUAGAUCGAACUGUAGUUUGUUGCAACAGUCUCCAUUAGCUCAUUCAAUUUUCUUCUAGCUCUCAACCUCUCUUGUUCAAGACCCUUUCCAGAUUUUCCGUCCUGGAUAACAGCCCCUAAAUCCACGCUCAUAAUCCCUAUGUACACCUCCAUGCUUUGCCUUGAAACCAUCUAAUCCCUAAGAUCUUAUUAAAAGCUGAUGCCAAAAUACAAUUUAAUUGUAAAAGCUAACAUCACGGUAGAACAUGUGUAAGACAGAAACAUAAUUACACACUUAGAGAACGCAUGAUUCACACAUAAACAAAGAAAAGAUAUAUAGUACCGUUACAAGGCACUAUCAGUAUCCCUCUCGUGUUCAGUAGAAUCAGCACCAAUGAUAAUGGAAUUGUACUAUUAAUCUGUACAAUAGCAUCCAUGAAGCCGAUCUAUUGUAGAAUAUACCGUUAUUGCAUAGUUGCAUAUAAAUGUAAUAACAGAUGCAGCAAAAUAUGGUGAUAUUCAUGUAGACAUUUAAAAACCUUUAGUUCAUUUUUCUCCAUGACUCAUUCAACUACAUCCUCUUCCCUAAAUGAUAUUAUUGAGCCGCAUCUAAAGUAACAAGACAAGAUUACAUUUCAUUUUUUUUAAAACACAAAAUAGUUUCCAGGACAGGUUGAUAAAAAUCCCAUAAUCUGCCUCCCAAUUUCUCGCAAAUGAUUAUCAUCAAUUUACAAGGUGCAUCACAGAUGAUGAAUAAACCCAAAUUCAUUUGUCAACAAAUGAAGAUUCUGCAAGAUCAAUGGCACGUGCAAGGGCUGCAGCUUUGUUCUCGCAUUCUCUUUGCUCAUCGGCUGGAUCACUGUCAGCCACAAUUCCUGCUCCAGCCUGGAGAUGGGCAAUCCAUUCUCUGCGUUUGUUGACAUCCUUGUACGAGUACAUCGUAUCAAAGCGAGUAUUAGUAGGGAAAACCAUUGUCCUCAGAGCAAGAGCAAUGUCCAUAUCACCGGAAAAAGAUAUGCCUCCAAAUCCACCACUAUAUGGACCACGUCUUGCCACUUCUAACUGAUCAAUCAACUCCAUGGCUUUUACCUGUUUUACAGCACAGCUAAUGAGAACUAUUUAGGAACAAAGAAGCCAAACAAAGACUCAACCUAGCAGUUCUAGGCACAAGUGUAAAUGUUAAUCCCCACCCAAACAAUCCCAAAUUUAUCCAACCCAAUGGAUGUCAAAACUGAAGGAAAGUGCUGCUGACCAUUCCAGAAACUAUACCGUGAAGAACCUAUAAAAACCUAGAGCAUAAUUUACCUUUGGCGCUCCGCUGACCGUACCAACAGGUAAUGCAGCCCGCAAUGCAUCCCAGCUUGUUAGGCCAUCUAAUAACUCCCCGGUUACCUGCAAAGACGGUUACAAUUUAUCAUCCAAAGAUAAGGUUUUGAACUAAAUGGAGUCUAGUAAAAUCAGAAGGCACUCUAGCUAACUAGCUUGCACAUAUUCUAGUUUCUGGAUGCAAUAGUGGAUAUUGCAAGGUAAAGGGAAAAAAAAAAUUGACUAAUGGGUGAAGGAAAAUUAUAAAGUUGGCAAUAUGGAAUUUUAAGGAAAGAGUAUAUAUACACGUAUAUAUUUAGUCUAAACUAUUAAUAUAAUUUGCAUUAAAGAACUUACAGUAGAGCUGAUGUGCAUAACAUGGGAAUAUCGCUCAAUAUUCAUAAGUUUUUCAACUUGAACAGAACCGGGUUUGGAGACCUGCAUAUCAACAGAACAAUGGUUAUGACAUAAAAAUAGCAUUGUGCAGCUCACACAAUCUGCUCAAAGUGUAAAACAAUUAGGAUUCAUACGGAACCAAACAGUAAAGCAGCUAUGGAAUCCAUAUCAACACAACAUAUAAACAAUUAUAUGUUAGUUACCAUUAUGAAAUUUUGACUACUUCAAAAAGGUGGAUUCUAUUGUAAUUUGGCUGUGUACAUAUUAAACAAUGACAUUCGCCCAAAGCGUAUUGACAAAAUUCAUUUAUUUGUAAAAUCAAUAUCUAGUGUUGAAGAUAAAUAUUCUGAAAGUAUAUAAUAAUUUUUAAUUUAUGUAUUAUAUAAGAGAUACAUUUUAUCCCCUCAAAUAAAAUAAAAAGAGAGAAAUGCAUUUUAUGAAAAUGAAAAGAAGGAAGUUAUCGUCCAUCAAUUAAUCUUAUAAAGCAAAUGAUUCACAUCGGCAUUUCAUGGAGGUUGAUGAAGUUUUGGUGGCACAACAAUGGUGUAAAUAUGAUGAAAAACACUAUCCCAAAGGGUCCACAAUAAAAUCAUGGCUAAAGUGCACUUUUCCCCCCUUAACUUUUAAAAAGUUGCAAUUUUGGCCCCCUAUGUAUAAAAACUACAAUUUUGGCCCCCUAAGAUUUAGCCCCUUUGCAUCUUUGGUCCUUUUGGCCAAUUUUGACCAAGUCAACGCUGAUUUGUCACUUCAUUAAAGGAGGUGGCAGGCCACAUGUGUAUAUCCAUAUUUUUUUAAAAAACAAAAUGCCACGUUUAAUUACUUGAAUUAAAAAAUAUAUAUUGGAAAGGCUUGUCACGUGACUAACCCCUCUUUCAACCCUUCUACCUAAACCCUUUUUCUCUCUACCAAUACUACCCUUCAUCAAACCCAACAACUUUUACCUUAAAAAAAAAAACCCAAGCAACUUCAUCUACUCUCAUUCUCUUCCAUAUUACAAAAGCAAUCAUCUGCACCAAAUCAUCUUUUCAUUUUCACCCAAGGUCCGUCAGAACCAUAUCAAAAAUUAUUGUUGCAACCCAUUGAUUGCAAUCAUGUUAACUAUUGAUCACAAUCACACCCUUUUUCUUCUAUCUCUACUAAAAAUAAAAAAUACAUAUAACAUGAGCACCACUGUAACUGAACUUGAACAAGAAGAAUUUCUUGAGAAAUUAAAAGUCUUCAAAAUCAAAGACAGAGAUAAGAAAUUUGCGGUGUUGUAUAUUCACACCGGUGUUCAGAGGAGUGAGAAUUUUGCCGGAAUUUCUUCUCUCUGAUCGGUUUACCAAUAACCGUAAAACCUUUCUAGUAUUUGUUUCACUUUCACACACUCACUCAUUCUCUUUUCGGAAAAUUUCUUCUUCUUUGGUUUACACAUUCACUCUACUUUUCACAACCAUCAGUGAAAACAUCUCUUUCAACAAUGAGAUUUGGAUUGCAGAAAGACAAAAAAAGUUAUUUAGAUCUGGAUUGAAGUUUGUGUUUGAUUGUAAAUUACCCAAACCCUUAAAAUCAACUUUUGGAGUUUAGUUGGGUUAAGUUGGGUUUGAUAGAAAACCCAGAAAUUGUUUAAGGAUUUAAUUUGGUUUCUAAAUUGAUUUUAAGUUUUUGGUUUGAUUUUGUGAAUAGAGAAGAAGAGAAGAUGAUCAAGAACAUUGGUUCCCUGUGAUGAUAUUAUGAAGAUUUGAGAUUUUGGGGAAAAAUAAUUAUUUUGGGUUUUUUGAAGUUGGUAGGUG
rnacentral:lncRNA from 1 species